CUCUAAUCUUUCUCUUCCAUGUCCACAGCAAGUCAAGAUUUCACAAUUUCAGGUGAGAUGUUGUUUCUAUUUUUGUUAUGUCCGCCUUUGUUAUUUUUUUGAUUAGGGAAUAAAAUAGACUGGAAUUUUGUGGAAGAUACAUAUACUUGAGUUAUUGAAAUGCAGUCGUAGAAAAUAAAAUGCAGCCAUCAGUCGGUGAAUCUUCAGUGGUAAGCUCAACUAAUGGCUCCAAAUUACAAGUGUAUAGUCAAAAGUCUAUUAUUUAUAAUACGAAGAUGUCUUGGACCUGAAAAUUAGGAAGUUCUAGCAUAAAAUUGUUCUUGCCAUGACAACAACAUGUUCUAUGUACUUCAUUUUGUCUACCUAUGAAAAUAUUUUUACCUUUAGCUCCUUACGAACACUGUUUGCUGCAUCUGUAUUGCUAAUACACGGAUCAGUCUCUAAGCCAACAUAUAAAUGCAACUACCGGUAACAGUUUUAAGGCCCAAAGACUAUAAAGAAUGAUGGUUGCUUGUGUUUCAUCCUAUUCUAGUUUGGCAUUGGCACUUCAGCUAAAUGUUGCACUUCGUGCUACAUAUAUUGGUCCAGAUAACAAUAGUACAAUCAUGCGCAGUUCGGCACAAUCCAGUUUGGAGUUUAAGGCAGUAAAUGAGAAUUCCGCAUUGGCAUUUUUUGGCUAUUGCAAAGAUUUCAUAAUAGAUAAAACUAGUUACAAAGUUAGACUACUUCUCAGACAAUGGAACUACACAAUUUCUUUGUCUUGGUAUCUUUUUUUCUUGGGGUAUGACUUUGUAGCAAUCUAGUCAAUGAUAUCAUUCAGCUCCUGAUUGAUAGUAUUAUUUUAGGUCAAAGAAUGAUACAUAUAUUUUUUAUUUUAUCAUCUUGAAAAUUUAUCUUCCGGCUGUAGGUUUCUCAGUCUUAGGUGUAGCCGAGGUCAAGUGUACUGAAGUCGGGUCAUUUUGGUAUACGCUAGCCUGAUGUGUUCAAUAUGGUUCAAAAGAAAGCUUAUCAAGAGCCGCCGCGGAUAAAUCCUCACCUUUUUGUUGUUUCAGCUCCGAUAAAUUUUGUUACUGUGCUUCGAAGUUGCAAAGGCUAAUCGGUUGUAGAAUUUCAUGUGCUACACUAAUCCUUUGGAGAUCGUUGUUUCUCUUAUGAACAAAUCUUAAACUAUACAGCAAAAGAAGCCUUGCUGGUAAAGUGUAUCGGGUAGUAUGUUGCAGUUCUUUCUUGGAAUAUAGGUAUUGUAAAUCAAUCAAAGAGUUCUGAUACAUCACUGCAACUUGGCACACAACACCGGUAGGUCCAGUCAAAAUGGUAUGCUAUAGUUGGAACUACUGAAAUAAGUCGCUUGAUGCUAGAGUAAAUAUGAUGAUUGUUAGAACCUGUCUUCACACAAAUCUAGAAUUGCAACUACUGAGAUAAGUCACUUGAUGCUAGAGUAAAUAUGAUGAAUUUCAGAACCUCUCUUCGCACAAAUCUUAUGAAACAUUUUCAAGUUGAUCUAUCCAUAGGGCACAAAAGAGGACAACAAUUAUGCUUCUUUUAUAGCUGGGUGUAUGAAGAUGGAUACAUGCUUUUGUUCUACAAAUGUGAUGUAAUCUUUCUCCAACAUAAUUAAGAUAUUUAAGAAAGAAAUUAUAUUGUUUCUAUGAUGCCCAUGUUUUCGAUUUAGCACAAUGAAGCGCAUGAAAAACAUGCGGCAAUGAAAAAAUGGUGCAGCAAAGCACGCGUGUAUCCUCCAGAAGCCAAACUACAUGAGAAGAUUCAGCAUAAGGCUUAUGGUGGUGAUGAGAACAUCAUUAGAAUCGUCACCACCAAGAGCUAAGCUUAGCUGCUUGUGACGUUCAACCAUUAUAGUGUGGUAACCUGCUCAUUCUGCUCUAUUUGUUAUGCCUACAUUUUCUCUUUCUUACGUGGCAAUUCUGUUUCUGAAUUUACCCUCAAUAUUGUUAUAUCUGUUUUUCUUUUGUGUAUAUAUGUGCAGUAUGCUUAGUUAUUUUUAUUGCAUGCCUUAAACAUGUCUAGCGAAAGGUUAUGUGGUAAUUCAUUCUAUUUUGUCUGCUGACACUUCUUGCUAAUUAAGCAACCAAUGUUAGUUUCUUUUAAUGGCCUCAGUCUUAUGCGCAUUUCUAAUUUGGUCACACUGCUCACCAGGUUAAAUGUGAAGCAAACAUAUAGUUACCACACUAUAGCUUUUCAGGCAAGGCAGUAUACAAAAACAAUUGACAUAUUCUCAGCUGGACAUAUUCUUGUGACUUGCUUCCUGGGAAACUUAGCUUUUGUUUAUUAUUUUUAUGUCUGAUUUCUUUUCCACUUUCUGGUUGCAGUUAGAGUUUGUCGCCGGCAGCCAGUCUUCCUCGUGCUCCCGUGCCUCUGAUUUGGAUCGAAGUCGCGAUAGUAGUGGUGCGGCGGCGGUGGGGGAGGAGGCGAGGGUGGCGGCGAUGGGUGAUGGCGGUUAGAAUAUGAGGCGGCCCUUGAAGGAGGAUGGGGGUAUGCUGCUUGUACCUACUAUUGUAUUAUUUGUGUGACUAUUCAUGCAUUAGCCUUUGUGAAGUUUCAGGUCAACCCUAUGCCAAGUUCUUAGUUAGUAUUUCCUUACAUACCAUCGACAUCAUUCUCUAGGAAAAACAUAUUAUCUGCGUGCUAUCUUUUCUCUAUCUAAAAAAUUCAUUAUGUUUUCCUUUUCGGCCAAAACAUUGAGGACCCCGCCAAAUUAUUAUGUUGUCCUUUUCUCAAUCAGUGACAACAUUUGUGUGAGAUGUUCUCCCGUCCCUUUCAGCCAAAUCCAAUAUCACAAAAAAAGUCAAAAGACCAAAGAACACAAACACACAUUUAGGUGCGUUUGGCUACUUAUGGCAUUCAAUUUGUUCACCAAAAUAGAUCCUUGAGAUGAUCUUCCUUUCAUGUGAAUACAUGUCACUGGCCUGCAUACCAGAAAAAUAACGUUAAGCUCUUUAUGGACUACAUGUCCUUGAGAAGUACUAAACUUUCUGCUAACUUUUGAAGUACAAGUUCUACUCUAUUGGCAUGGGAAAAGCAUAUUCAUUACUAAUUAAAGUUGAGGAUAUGUUUCCGCAAAGAAUAUUCAUUUUUCAUAUUGCUUAUUUCCAUUGCAUAAAGUUGUACUUAUGUAUGCUAAUAGCUUCACUCGAAUAGUUCUCUAGAUUUUUUUGGUAAUUCAUCUCAUCCAAUAGUUUGAUAUGUUUGCCAUUAUUCUAAAAACUAGCGAAGUGGCCCGCUUCAUGUGCGGGCUAGAAUUUUAUAUGUUUUGUUAUAAGACAAUAUUAUCUGGUUUAUCUAAAAAAUAUAACCAUAUAUGAUAUCAUUUACAAAUACGUACGUGUUUUAUAUCCAUUUAGCAUUACCUUCUAAUUAUGUAUUACAUGUCCUACUAACUGCAUUUUUUAUCAGCCGCGGCGUUAAUAUUAUAUUUGUAACGUUUUUAUGGUACUUUUAUCAUGCUACAUUAUUAUAUCCUUUUCUAUAAAAUUAUAUUUUAUAGUUUCAUUGGUUUCAUGCAGACAUAGGUAAAUUUGCUAAAAUUGUGGAAGUUCGACAUAUUAAUUUUAUUUUUAGUGAUUGUUUAUUCUUAGUUUUUUUUAAAAUACUUCUAUGUAGUUAGAGUGCAUUAUAUCGUAUAUAUAUAUAUAUAUAGCCAUUAUAUUGUAUUUUCUGUCUAAGGUAUUUAUUGUCACGAUCAUUUAGGUAGAGACGUGCACUAAGAAGCACCAACGUUGGCUCAUAUUUUCACAUAUGCAAAUUUGGAUAUAUCAAUAUUCAGUAUCGCAGUGUUUCCACGGGCCGCACCAGGUUGAUACUACACUUUUCCCUUUCUCAGGUCUUCUUGUCAUUUCAGGAACUUCCUAUCAGGUUUCGGGAUAUGGGGAACCACAAAUCAACCUCAUGCAUGUAGUAUAGGUUCUUUGUCAAGUUUCUGUGUUCUUGGCCGCGACAAUAUCUAGAUGGUUGAGAUUGUGUCAUACGGAAUAAGGUCUUGUAGCUCCAUCAUUGUAGUAGUGUGGCCAUUGUGGUCUACUCCAUGCAUGGAUCCAUUGGUUACCAUGAGUUGAUUUAUCAUGUUUUUUUCUUUAUAGUUCAAUGUUGGUGCCAUAGUUUGUUAGCAUCUAUUAUGAUUGUAGUAUACUAUUCAUGGAGAAAGCAUUCUCAACGAUCUUAGGGUCCCACCAGUAAAGCCCAGCCAAGGAUAAUCAGAAGUACAUGCACACUUGAGGAGAACAUUUUAUGAAUUAUUUUGUAAGGCUUUUAUAUGUUUUACUAUUGGUAGUCUAGAAAUAUAUGUCUACAUGUAUACUUUUUUGAAACAAAAAUGAGGAGCGGCAAAAUUAUUUUCAUUGUUAAAAAAAUAAAGAGCUCAAUGGAGCUCGGUCUCUGUAGGCACUUUUCGAUGGUGAGAGUAGCUACUAUUGUUUAUUUCUGGAUUUCAAGAUGCAUGCAACAACUCUCUCAAAUAACUCUUCGCAAGGCUGUUAACGCUACAACCCACCGUGUACUUUCCAGUGAUGGGUCUUUACGAGAGGCUAAACUAGCUAGCUAAGCUAAUGUUAGCUUGAUGGAAUUAUCUUUGAUGCUUGCUGCAGCUGGCCAAAUAGGAUUUGGGAUUACACUCCUAUAUGAUUUACACAUGGUGAUUAUUUUAACAGCUACCUAAGGCUAGAUCAAGUGGUACCUUGCUUUGCUGAAGGGGUUCUGGUCAGUUCACACUCCCAUCCGUGCUUGCGCACAAUUGAUCAUUGAUGGAAACAUAUGUCUAGCUCUCUCAAUUGAUGGAAACACAUGUCUAGCUCUCUCAAUCAUUGGUCACCUGCCGCUGCAGACAUAUAGACCCACAAGGCCUUCCCAACUACGAUGCUCUAUAUAACUGAAAAUCAGUUACAUAUAAAAAUAAGAUUGUGAACCACAAUAAGCCUGACUAUUAUAUUUCAAGAUUUGUUGCAUACACUAUAUAUAUAUAUAUGAAUGGUAUUACUGAUGGAAGUAUGUUAGUGUCGAUUGGAACUUCAUUAACACACCUGCUAGUUUGGAAUGAAUUGAACUUAUUUGGUUUAUGCUAAUUGUAAAUAAAACAUGGUCCUAUAUAUGUGUCACAGAAAGAAAUUCAGACAGAAGAGAGAAAAAGAUGGGAAAACUCACUGUCAGGUCCAUAGUAGAAUUGCAGGAAAUCAGCAUUCAUGUCUCCUUUCAUGUUUAAACAUCAACAGUCUAGAGCCCUUUUGCCAUGCAUUACUGGGAACCAUGUAACCAUGCAUAUAGUUACAACUAUCUAUAUAUAGCCCAAAAAUUAAAUCUAAUUAUCUGAUCUGACAACAAAAAGUAUACAAUCUAGCAGUUACAUAUAUGGAAAAUAUUCAGAAAAUUGUUUUCAUUCUUGGUGAUCAAGUCGAUUGCAUAGUUAUUUUCAUGCGAUCGACUUCAAGGAUGAAAACAGAGUAGAGAUGACCGUGUCAUUAGUCCGGUACAGUUCCUUCACACGACAGCUUCAUGACACCCACGGUAGCCUAUGUUGGCACAGGCAUGGCCUUGACGACGCACACCUCGAGUAUUUUCUGACGACAGCACACGUACAACCUACAGCCGAUUACUUUCCAGCCGGUAGAGUGGAGGCCUGUCGUACGUAGAACUGUUUCGUCAAGAUAGGCAGGAUGUAUAUGGCGAGGUGCACACUAAGCCUGAAGCAGCUGGUCUAGCUGCUGGAUGGUUCACGGAUGGUUCAUGCACGUACAGGAAGCUAGCUUAGCUAAGCUAGCGAUCAACUCAAUACAAGCUAGCUCAAUGCCUUGAUCUUUCGAUCUCACCGAGACACAGCCUAACACACACAUGGAGACGCUGAUUAGAUGGCUAUAGGCCCGUGUCGAGUCUGUUUUUCUUUCUUUGAUCUAGGCCACAAAAUCUUUCAGGUACAAGUAUAUAUACGAUCCAAGCUAGCCUAGACCUAUACUACUCGGUGGCUUGUUCAUGUCCAACCCGGACAAUGACUGCGUGGUUGCAUCAUUACACCUCCUCCGCCUCCGCAUCAAACAAUUGUAAGAUUGAUUCAGUGGUUGCCCUAGAAAAAUAUAUAUUGGAUUGUUGCAUGCAUGGUUCCAGCCUGGAACAUGACAGGAUUAAUUAUGAUAGAGGAAAAGGUCUGGGGAGACACACCAAUUGACAUGUGACAUUGAAGCAGGACAUACACGAAUUUGGGAAAAAGUAAACUAAGCACCAAGGAGCUAUGUACCUAGACCUGAGCGAGGAGGCUGUGGGCUGCUGCUUGUGCGAGACGGCGCAGAAGAGAUGAGGUGUCAGGGAUUUAGAAUCGAUGGUGAUGUUUUUUAGAGCGAUCGUGGUGUUUUUUGGAGCGAUCAUGGUGUUGUUGGAUAGGUGAUUUUGGAAAGAUGGAGUUUGAACGGGAGGAGGAGGAGCUGAUCACGUCUAUCCCUUUGUGCAUGUUUUUUUUUGCUGAUUGAAAGGUUAUUUCCGUAAGGGCAUUGGUGGGUAAUUUACUUGACUGUUGAAGACACAUUAGAAGAUCAAAUGGUUGUUAUUCUCUAGCCCAUUAAAUAAACGGACGGAUGUUUCUAAUUUUUGCGGGAUUUUACAAUUAAUUCUCUUGUCUCUAGUUAAUCCAUCAAGCACUUUUUAUAUAUAAAUAGAUUGAUUUGUGUAGAAGAUCAAAAACAAUGUUAUCCAGUAGUUUGAUAUUUGUUGUCAUUAUUCCAAAAAAUGAUAUGUGUAGCGUAUUGAAAAUAAUUGGAUGCUGAUGCAAUCAUGGAGUGAGGACAUGUAUAGGGGUGCUUUAUAAUGGUACAUAACCCCGUAAUGAAAUCAAGAGCAACAUAUCUCCGUUACCCAAUGAUUGUUGUCCUCGUAGUACAGACUUUGCCACCGUUGACACACUACGCAGAUGCCAUAUCCUUUCUUCCACCCACAGGACACGACAUUCCGGACAGUCUUGUACUGUUGGGAUGCUUGAUAUGCUGGAGUUGGUCCUGGCUGCAGUGAUGUCCCUGUUCCUCCACGGUAAGGGCAAUCCCCAUGUAGCUGGAACAUGUACAAUUUUGUUUUAGAAGGGGUGUUGAUUUGUCUAUCUCUCUUUGUAGCCUUCUGAAUUUCACAACUGUAACCAAUUUGGGUGUAAAGAUGUACUUCAGCAUGUGCUUUAUUCUCUAAAAUUUUAUACAGACCGGGAGUACGAGACUUUUGUCUGGAAGAAGAUACGUGCAUGUUCCACAACUCAAAAAUGGCAGUGUAUAGGAGAAUUGUGAUCCCUCUUUCAGUGCAGCCAAAAUGCAUGCACAACUUUGCAUACAACAAUUGCAAUAUGAAAUCUAUGAACUUGAACAUUUGUCUCACCUGCAUAAAGAGAGAGAACACACGUUGUGUACUCAAUGAGAUGGUCUGCUCCUAUAUUGGUAAAAUUAGUAUCAGGUUCCCUUUUUGGGCCUACAAUAUUUUGUGCUCGCACUUGAUUGUUUCUUCAUGUACCACAAUAUUUUAGUUUCAAAUAGAUUAAAAUAGUCGUGUACAAGUUAUGUAGUUUUCAUUAUAGUUAUUUUGAUUCCGUAGCGAAGCAUGAGGAAAUCUAAUGGUUCAUGACAACUCCACGUUGAAAGAGGCUUGUGAAGAUUUUUGCUCGAGAAUUCCAGAGGGUUAUUCUUGUCAAAUUUGCUCUCACACCUUGGGCGUCAUGUUUUCCAGUUGCAAUACACGGGCAUUUUUCAUAGUAAUAGUAAUAAUAAUAUGACUUCCAUAAUGCAACUAAAUUUUAUUUCACAACAUAUAAAAGAAAACAAUGGAAAAUAGGAUGCUGCAUGCGCAUGUGCUGGGGCUACUAUGAAAGUUAUUACAAUAGGCAUGCAUAUGUAUAUAUAUAAAAGACAUAGACAUACAAAAUAACUCAGAUGUCCAUAGUUCUGUUAGAUCGUCCUAAGCUUAUCCAUCAAGGCGCAUGUAGCCAAGGUUUAUAGCCCCUUUAGCUAUCUCAAAACUUAUAAGAUCAUCGAACGCAGCAUAUCUGAUUCUUUCAAAGCUCAAUGGAGCAAUCGCCCAUCCGGAGUUCUUCAGUUGCUUGCACUCGUUGCCCUUCUCCAGAUUCGUUCCCAACACAAAAUUUGCUAGAUCAAAUAGCGACGGUGUAGAUUUACUGCAUGUUGUUUUUGGUAUUUUAAUGUGCGUUUGUAUGUCAAUGGGAUUUUUUACAUGGAGGCCAUAUGGCUGAAGCAUUUUUACGUCAUUGCCAAUUGCCGCUCCACAGAAGAAGAUAUCUUCACGAGCAAGAAAUUUGUUGAGCUCGUCUGGUAUGUGAGGCGAGUGCACGAUGUGGUACACCAAGCAAUGAUCUGCAAAACACAGUUGAAGUACGGCGGCGCAUCGCUCCAUUUCCGGGGGCAGGUCCUUCUGCUUCACCCCAUCGACUUGGUCGGUGAACUCACAGUCUAGACCAACAAUAUUCUUUUCUACCAUUUGGAGGGAUUUCAACAAACUCUUGACCCAUUCCUCAACGACGCCUGGUUCAUUGGUGACUGUCACGGUUACCUUGAAGCCAGCAAGUUGCUCAAAGCGAUGAACUGCAGGCUGAGCCACCAGAAUGGCAGCAGAGUGAUCAUCAUCCUCUGGAGCUAGCGGAGGCAGCAAAGUAUUAUCAAAGAUGGAAAUAGUGUGCGGCUGGAGUAGCUCCUGAAGGAAAUAUGCCCUAGAGGCAAUAAUAAAGUUAUUAUUUAUUUCCUUAUAUCAUGAUAAAAGUUUAUUAUUCAUGCUAGAAUUGUAUUAACUGGAAACAUAAUACAUGUGUGAAUACAUAGACAAACAAAGUGUCACUAGUAUGCCUCUACUUGAGCUCGUUAAUCAAAGAUGGUUAUAUUUCCUAACCAUGGACAAAGAGUUGUCAUUUGAUUAACGGGAUCACAUCAUUAGUUGAAUGGUCUGAUUGACAUGACCCAUUCCAUUAGCUUAGCACCCGAUCGUUUAGUAUGUUGCUAUUGCUUUCUUCAUGACUUAUACAUGUUCCUAUGACUAUGAGAUUAUGUAACUCCCGUGUGCCGGAGGAACACUUUGUGUGCUACCUAACGUCACAACGUAACUGGGUGAUUAUAAAGGUGCUCUACAGGUGUCUCCAAAGGUACAUGUUGGGUUCACGUAUUUCGAGAUUAGGGUUUGUCACUCCGAUCGUCGGAGAGGUAUCUCUGGGCCCUCUCGGUAAUGCACAUCACUUAAGCCUUGCAAGCAUUGCAACUAAUGAGUUAGUUGAGGAUGAUGUAUUAAGGAACGAGUAAAGGGACUUGCCGGUAACGAGAUUGAACUAAGUAUUGGAUACCGACGAUCGAAUCUCAGGCAAGUAACAUACCGAUGACAAAGGGAACAACGUAUGUUGUUAUGCGGUCUGACCAUAAAAGAUCUUCAUAGAAUAUGUAGGAACCAAUAUGAGCAUCCAGGUUCCGCUAUUGGUUAUUGACCAGAGACGUGUCUCGGUCAUGUCUACAUUGUUCUCGAACCCGUAGGGACCGCACGCUUAAGGUUACGAUGACAGUUAUAUUAUGAGGUUAUGCAUUUUGAUGUACCGAAGUUUGUUCGGAGUCCCGGAUGUGAUCACGGACAUGAAGAGGAGUCUCGAAAUGGUCGAGACAUAAAGAUUGAUAUAUUGGAAGCCUAUAUUUGGAUAUCGGAAGUGUUCCGGGUGAAAUCGGGAUUUUACCGGAAAACUAGGAGGUUACCGGAACCCACCGGGAGGUACAUGGGACUUAAUGGGCCUUAGUGGAAGAAGAGGAGAGGCGGCCAGGGCUGGGCCGCGCGCCCCUCCCCCCUAGUCCGAAUAGGACAAGGAGAGAGGGGGCCGGCGCCCCCCUCCUUCUCUCUCUCUCUGUUCCCACCUCGCGAAUCCUAUUCCAACUAGGAUUGGGGGGGGAGUCCUACUCCCGGAGGGAGUAGGACUCCUCCUGGCGCGCCCUAUGAUGGCCGGCCGGCCUUCCCCUCUUGAACCUUUAUAUACGGAGGCAGGGGCACCCCUAGAGACACAAGUUGAUCCACGUGAUCAUAUUCUUAACCGUGUGCGGUGCCCCCUUCCACGAUAAUCCUCGAUAAUAUUCUAGCGGUGCUUAGGCGAUGCCCUGCGAUGGUAGUACAUCAAGAUCGUCACCACGCCGUCGUGCUGACGGAACUCUUCCCCGACACUUUGCUGGAUCGGAGUCCGGGGAUCGUCAUCGAGCUGAACGUGUGCUAGAACUCGGAGGUGCCGUAGUUUUGGUGCUUGAUUGGUCGGGCCGUGGAGACGUAUGACUACAUCAACCAAAUGCUUCCGUUGUCGAUCUACAAGGGUACGUAGAUCACACUCUCCCCUCUCGUUGCUUUGCAUCACCAUGAUCUUGCGUGUGCGUAGGAUUUUUUUUGAAAUUACUACGUUCCCUAACAGCUCCAAGGAGCAUGGCGAAGCGAGCAUAUCAUUGGCAUUGUUCUCCUUAGGAAGAGCCCUGCAGUCAUAGACCAAGUGAGCGAUAGGGGAUAGCAUGAACAAAUAAAACACAUCUUUUUUUAGUAUUACUACAUGUCAACGCCAAACGAGUAGAACUAUAAAUAACUCAAGACAAUAUAGUCCCGUUCAAUAGAUGAAGAGUUCUUCUCAAAAGAAAAACUGAAGUUGCUCAGAAACAAAAUCCUAGAUCUAUAUUCUGAAAAUGAAUCUGAGUGCCCAUCUUUUUUUGUUUUGCAAGAUGAAUUAAAGCGCUCAUCUUUGCCGUCACGCAAUAUACUGCUUGAAACUCCAAUCUUCAAAUGCAUGAACUUUAAAAGAAAGCUGGGGCUAAAUUGGACUGGACAAAAUUUUCAAGAAAUCGUACAUAGAAAAAUUCACAAGCAAAACACCACAAAUUCGUCCACAAGAUGGCAAAAUAAGACUGCAUGAGCACAUUGCCUAUCAUAAAAUAAGAAGACAAACAAAUGAGUUGUAGUAGUAUAAUAUUAUACCUUGAUGACUUCGUUUUGGCUUGCAGCGGCUCCAUAGUCAGCUGUAUUGCAAAUUGCAAUAUCCACUAUAUGUACGCCGCAUGUUUCUUCUCAGACUGAUGGAUUUUAUGUGAUGUGAUCGAGGGGAUGGUUUGUCAAUCCGGCCAAAAGGGUGCUUAUAAGCUAGCCGAUUGGGAUAAAAAUAGCAAGCAUUGAUAUUCGUGUUUUGGGAAGGAAACAAUAAGGAUUUUGGCACGAUACUUAUCCGCAGCAAUUUUUAAUAGCUUUCUUUCUGUUUCAUUCGCAUCAAAUAGCAAGUAUUGAUAUUCGCGUCACCUUUUUUAUGUGAACGUGGUAGCUUUGGUUUACCAUUUUUGAAUGUGAAUGUGCUCUAAUUUUAUUUAAAGUUUUUGCAUGCGAACCAUAGUCUAUUAUCCUUUUUUGUUUUAGCAAUGUGGUCGAUUUCACAUUCACAUAGGAUGUAUUUGGUUGUUCCUAGAAAUUUUGCCUGCAUUGCAUGUGUCUCUCAGUUAGGCCGGUUGAUAAAAAAUCAUCAUGUGCAUAUCGUUUCACUACUAGAAAAAGGCUUAUAGGUGGCCCCUAACAAGUGGCGCGCGCAUAUAAGCACCCGCCACAGCUAUUUUUAAAAAAAUUGCAGUGGCGGGUGCUAUAAACUAUUCACCACUGGCUAUCCAAAUAAUAGUGACGGGCAUAAGUAAGGACCCUCCAUUCCGUCACUCUUGAUAAUUUCUUUACGGUCGAAAAGUAAUAGUGGCGGCAACGUACAACAGGACCACCACUGGUGCCAUGCUAAUCAAUGGCCGAUCCGUUUCUUGCCACCGCCAUAGACCCGCCCCCACCGGUUCCUAAUUUUGUAAGAGUUUGCAGUGGUGGCUCCUAUUAGGCGCCCGUCACGUCUAUAUUUGGUCACCCUGCCACCUACCACUCAAAUAUAGUUGUGGCGGGUGCUAUCUGCUGCCCGUAACUCUUAUGCAUGACCUUAUCCACCCCACCCACCACCCGCAGCCAGUCGCACAUUAUCUAUCUAGACAUAAAUCUUUCUCCCUCUCCCUCUCUCUCGCCACGCCGACGGCAUGAGCAUUGUGGCAUCCUCCGCCGCUGCCACCGGCAAGGUCGCCGUCCGCUGCCUCGGACGGCAUCAUGGACCCAACCUUCCCUGUCGCCCGCGCCAUUCGUCGCCGCCUCGAAGUCAUCGGCCUUGCCAUCCAACGCCACCUCCAACUACUUCCUUGUCACUAUCGCACGUGCCUUCCUCCGCCUCCGACUUCACCGGCGUCCCCGUCAAACUCACCGUCCAUCUCCGCCAUCGUCCUCGCCCUUCCCACCAUCUCCGUACGCCCCGGUAACCACACCUCAUGUCUCUCUGUUAAUGGAGAUGAUAGUUGUUCUCAUUUAUUGUACUUGUACAUUAGCAACAUUUUGCUAGUGUAGUUAAAAAAAUUUAUAGGAUGUAUAGUAGUUGUCUCUUGUUAUAUGAUGUACCAUUUAAUCUUUGUAAUUGGAUGUCUUCAAUUUGAUUGCUUGUGCUAGAGGACUAUUUACUGCAUAUACGGAUCAAAAUAUGGUACAAUAUUUUAUUCAUGAUGCAGAUAUUCGUAACUAACAUGAUGAACCUACUUAAGAGUGAGAAAUGUCCACUCAAAGGACAUAUAUGGACCGUUGUCGUAACAAUUCUAUCUUUUAUAUUGUCAUAAAUCUUCUUUCAUGCAAAUGUCUUUUAUCUAAAGGUCAACUUGUUUAAUGCAUUUAGAUGGAGAAGCCGGGAUGCCUCAUUAGGACUUCUACUCCCGUAGACCGAACUUCUACAGCUGUAGGCAUCGUCACGAGGACGGAUGAGCACACGAAGAUCAUGCUCGACUAUGACGAGAGCGCUCGAGCAGCCACCAAUAGCGCUCGGGCAUACGUCAAGAGCACUGCAACAUAUGCCGAGAGUGUGAGAAGAGCUGCUGAGAGAACAAGAGCACCCACGCUGAGAGCACAAGAGCAGCCACCAAGAGUGCGCGAGCACCUGGCGGAGUGCGUGAGUAGCUAUCAAAUCUGUCAGGACCGCCCAAGCCAAGAUCACGAAGAUGUUAGAAGGCGAGGAGACCUCAUGAUGGAGCUGAACUUUUACUUCUGAACUAGUAGUGUACUUCCUUUAUGUGAUCUAUAUGAUCGAUGCGUGUGAACCGAAUUUCUAUGUUACAAUGAUGGAGUAGAACUUUUUCUUCUGAACUAGUGAACUGCAUUUAUGUCAUUUGUAUUGUUAAUGCUUCUGAACAUAUUUUCUAUGAUGCUCUGAAGAUUGUUAUAUGACUUUUCUCCAUGCGAUUGGAUAACUAUGAGAUUGACUUGUUAGCUUGUUUAUUUAUCUUUGUAGAUGAGUUGUACUAUGGGAAGAAUCCAGGAGUCUAUGAUUCAUGAAAGAAAUGCAAUGAACAAGUGGACGCUUAAGAGAACACUAGCACAAAUGUCCGUGCGUUGCAACGGCGGGGAAAUACCUAUUCUUAUGAACCAUGAUUUGCUGGGUAAGGAACUAUGUCAAGGGAGAAUGGUCGUCGAUGCAAAAAGAUGCAUAAUUUAAGGACCACGAUGUAGAGCACAUGGGGUGUGAUUCGGAGUAAAUCGAUCUGAUUGGCAAUGUUUUUCUUGGAAAAACUUUCGAUCUAUUUAUCAAAUAUCAUGGUAAUAUAUUGAACAUCAUGAGUAUUCUCUCCGUCCCAAAAUUCUUGUCUUAAAUUAGUUUAGAUACAGAUGUAUCAAGUCAGAUGUAUCUAAUACUAAACCAUGACAUGAUACAUCCGUAUUUAGACAAAUCUAAGACAAGAAUUUUAGGACGGAGGGAGUACUAAAAAUUACAUCCAUGCCGUGUGUUACAACAUGAUAAAACUUCAUCACACUCUGACACUCCUAAUCCAAUUAUUAUGGUUUCUCAAAAAAAAAGUAUAGUCGAAUAUCCCUAACAUGAGGAAGAAUUGUUCUUUCAAGCCGACCAUAUCUACAAAACGUCUCCGUAAUGAGUAAACACCAUAAUGCUUUUGCAAAUAAAGAAAAUCAGAAAAUCGGCUUACGGUAGAGAGUUGAUCAAAAUGCAAUACUGCGUUUUUUAUUGGCGUAUAUGUUUAAAUGCGCAAGUGCAUGUUAUAAUCCCCAAAGGUCCAGCGCUCUUGCUAGCUUCCUUAUUCCCUUGACACAAUGAACCAAUUUAGCUUCUUGCGUGGAUCCUCGUCUCAAUCUCUUUCCAAAUUAGCAUGCUUGCACUGCUUUCCGCAUUAUCAUGUCUAAAUUUCCUUUAGCAUAGACUGCUUUCCUUACUAUUCUGGCUCAAUUCCUUCUCAUAUCAUUUCCAUCCUUUACUUCUUUAUUUCUCUUGCUGCAUGUUGAAACGUCGGUUGAAAUCCUCUCUAUAGAGCCGGAACUCAAUUUUUACCCUUCACUUAUUGAUUUUCGAGAUGACUCCUUGAUACCCUAAAAACUUAAAGACCUAUAUAAGUUAGAAGGAUUGGAUGUAAAAAAGGCUAGGUGGUACUAUUUAAUAGAUCAUAUAAAAUUACAUUUCAAAUCAAAGAUUCAGCUUGGUCGCCUAGUAGCACAAUAUUUACCUGACUGUGAAGUUGCGAGUUCAAUUCCUGGCCCAAACAAAUUUUUUGCCCUUGCUUUUUUACCCCCUAUGUGGGCUCCCACGUAGAAAUAGAAAUGCACAAAAGCCCACCUAGAGGCCCAGCCGAGCGACACAAGGAAAUAUCGAACACAGCGGAGACCGAUGGAGGAAAAUUGUCUGACGUACGAAGAAACGGACCGAACGGACGAUAAUUCAGGAGUAAGAAGCGAUCAACCCUUUAAUAGUAGGUAUAGAAGUGCUAUAAAGGAUAUAAGACUAAUAAAGAAGCAGAGGAUCAUUACGCCAACUUCAUCCGCACAGAGAAAAUCAACUAUUACGUAUGCAAGACCGUGUGGACAAGUGCACGAGUAAAGAAUUUGAUUACCUUUAUCCAGUUCAUUUUCACUAUGGUGGUGUUUUUAUCAUGUGGUCUUGUAUAUAUGUAACAUGUUGGAGGCUUCGCUGAGAAGGCUAUGUGUACUAAUGAUGUUGCGUGAGAUGUUGUCUAAUGCGUACAUCUAUUGUAUUGUAUUUGGAUUAUAGUUAUGGUAAAAUGUGCCACUUGUUAAGGUACAUUGUGAUGCGGCUAAUCUCAGAAACGUCUAUUGUAAUGUGUAUUAUCGCAUAUGUUACUUGUUCUUACUGUUUGUUGUCGGAUUUGUGUUGGCGGCUGGACAUGUAGUUGUGGUUGGUGCCCCAAAUUCCCUACCACAACUAACAAUAUAUUCCUGUGGUGGGCCGCAAGCAGAUAUGCCCGCCACUGCAAAGUCUCUAUGAGUGGCCCGCAUCUAGGCUGCCUACAUUAGGGGAGCAGUUUUAGUGGUUGGGUUGAUGCAACUACAUGGUGUUUGAUUGCAUACAGGCUAUGAGAUCUGCUGACCUUGUACCCUAGGUGGUGAGCUUACUAGCUACAACUUACAUAUGAUCACACCAAUCACACAAAUAAAACAAUACUAAAUCUCGACGAACUGGACAAUGAUGAUCAAGUUCUUGAUCUGAAACCUUCCAAGUUAUUGACGAGCCUUGUCUACUUCAACAUUGCUUGUAUGCGUGUACACAAACAUGGAGUAAGCAUCCACUUCCUGCUGCCUAGUCUUUAACCUUUGUAGGAGUUCUUUGGGUAAUGGUUGACUUGUUCUUCGCAUGUGUUCCAUGAACUAUAAGCCCCUAGAACCCUUCCUUCGUACACCACAUACCACUUCUCCUACCAUGACAGAAGAGUAACAAUUCAAGUAGCAAGCAAUGGAGCAUAGUAGACAUGUAACAUAAGAAAGCAUGCAUGGUCAUAGGGCAUGGCAAGUUUAUCCUGCCACUAUUAAGGUGUCAUCCUACCACCAAAUCCAAAAGAGGGUGUGAUCCUACCACCGCAAGUUUGCCAUCAGCGUGAGGGGUUAGUAUAUAUCACAUCAUCAAAAUAUGCAGGCCGGCAAUAGCUUUCAAUCCCUAUCUACCACAAAAUAUAGAUCGUCAUCGCCAGCGCCAUCGAGGAUCAUGCACGUCGUGAUACGUCUCAAACGUAUCUAGAAUAUUUUAUUGUCUCAUGCUAUUAUAUUAUCACUUCUAUAUAAUAUUUCUAGUAAUUUAUACUAUUUUUGUAGACUAAUUAAUUGAGUGCCCAAUGCUUGUUCUUAUUUUUCUGCUUGCUUUUGGUUUCAUAGGGAAUCAGUAUCUAUGGAGGUCCAAAUCACUUGUCGGUUUAAUACAAAUUCUAUAUUGGCAACACGAAACCAGGGAGGCUUUGGAAGAGAUCGAGAUGAGCAGCAUAGGGUAGGGCGCACCACCUAGCCGUCUGGGGCCCGCCUGCACCGCCUUACAUCCAUUCCACCGCCAUAGAUUCCUAUAAAUUAUGGAACGCUCCGCCAUAUUUAUAGAUUUUAUUAUCACCUCCGCAAGGUCGUGUUUCGCGAAGAUCAUAUCUGAAUAGUAUUUUGACACUAUUCACAUAUGAUUUUUUCUUUCUUUUUUAUAUUAGUUUAAUUCAAAUUAGGAGCUUAAACUUUUUGAGUUUGUACAUCAACCAUUGAUGUGUGCCUAUAAUUGUUUCUCUGAAUGGUUGAAGAUGUUUUGUAUUUUUUAAAUUUAUCCCCUUUCUUCUUCUCUUUAAGGAUCAACUCCUCUAGCUGGGCACGUGAAACCAGCAUCAGCUUCUCGCCUUCAUCGCCGCCACUGUGACAACGAUCGCGCUGGUUCUGCUCCAACGCGGUGAGGCGCCCAAUCGCCUCUUGUACAUUCAUCGCUGAGACAUCACCCCAUUGCUCAAUGGUGUUGAUGAUGUCCAUGAAAUGGUCUGGAACGUCACUGAAGAGCCGCUGCACCACGGCCUCAUCUUCAAGUUUGACGCCGAGGGAGCGGAUCUUGCUCACUAGCGGGAUGAGCUUCUUGGCGAACUCCGAGAUCGUCUCCCCGUCAGCCAUGUUGAGGUGAUCUAACUGUCUCUUUAGUUGUCGUGCAUGAGACUUCCUCACGCGAUCCUCGCCGAGGCGCGCAAACCGGAUCAUCUCCCAUGCCUCACGCACGGUGUCGCACUCCGCAACCUACAUCAUCACGUGAUCCGGAACAGAUUGAGAGAGCGCGGCGAACGCCCCUUCGUCCGCAGCUUGAUCCUACUCACCGGAGCCUUCAAUCGCGGACCAAACACGCAACAGCUUCAUCAGGACCUUCAUCUUCGCGGGCCACAACGAGUACUUGGUGUCCGUCAGCAUCGGAUACUGGCCGGGCACAAUUAUGGCCCUCGACGGGGUAGCGAGCAUGACAGCGCCGCCGUCUGCUACAGUAGCCUUCCUGGCCAUCGGCGGCGUGUACUUCCCGCCGUCGCCGCUCUUCCCAUCACUACUCUUUGGAGAUCUAUCACCCAUCGCUGCUGUUGCCGAACUCCUCCGAUCACCGCCACGAAAACGCCUCGCGACCUAGUUCUGUAUACCAAUUGUUGGAACAAAUGCGAAGCUACACACGCGAACACGGUGGAGAGGAACGAGAGAGAGAGGCGAAGAUGAACACCGGAGCACCAGAGUUUUUCGAGGCGCAACAACUUGCCUCUUUUCUUGCUUUUUUCUCUUCUUAUUCUUUCUCCCGUAACAACCUGAGAGAUUACAAGGAUAACAUCCGGACGACUCGGCCGAAACUAACUCCAUGAUCCACCUAUGUCGUGCCAUCCCACGACUUGAUCGUGGUCUAAACAAACCCACAAGCCGCAACGUGAACAAGCACGCUUCUGGCUACAAUUUCUACGUACAUGCAACGACUCAAAACACACACGUACGCAACCAUCACGUGUAUGGUCCAUGCAGACUAAUUAACCUCUAACUAAAUAUGCAUGCAUGAUAUGAACUAUUGACCUGUAACAAGAUUAGAACUAACAUUCCUCACAUGAAUGAUCACUAGUAGAAAACGGAGCUUUAGCGCCGGUUCGUAAGGGCCUUUAGUGCCGGUUCCAUAACCGGCACUAAAGGGUGGUCACUAAAGGUACCCCCCCUUUAGUACCGGUUCGGCACGAACCGGCGCUAAAGUGCCACCACGUGGCGUGAGCUCGCGCCUUGGUAUGGGGGAUCUUUAGUACCGGUUGGUGUUACCAACCGGUACUAAAGGUUUUUUGUUUUUGAAUUUUUUUUGAAAAUUUUGGACAAAAAAUUUUGAUUUUUUUUUCGAUUUUUAAUUUUUCUGAAUUAUUUGAUGAUUUACUCUCUAAUCACCUCUCAUAACUGCUCAAGUGUGGAUCACUCAUUCCAAAUGCUUAACUUCGGAGUUCUAUUCCCCCUACUUUCCAAGUCUACACUUGUUGUUUUCCUGACAAAUGUAAGCUGUCAAUCCUAUUAACCCUCAGUAGUUUAGCUUGAGCAUGAAGUCACACGUUUCACCGUUUGAGUUUGAAACUAUUAUUCUAAAAAACAGUAAUUAUGUAUUAACACUAAUAUUUCAUGAAUAAGUAGUUUGACCAUAGUUUGACCACAGUUUGACCAGAUUUGGCCAAAAUUCAAAAAAACUGAGAUACUUAUUUAGUAACACUAAUAGUAUUGCGUAAUUAUUUAGUAACACUCUAUAUUUCUUGAAUCAGUUGUUUGACCGGUUUGACAAGAUUUAACCAAAAUUCAAAAAAACAUAAAUUAGAGCAUAUCUUUUUUUCCUUUUACAAUUUUGUCAUUUCAAAAAUUGUCCUAAACCCUAAACCCGGGACUUAAAACGUCGGAAACUCUAUGCUAAAUAGUAAAAACUAAGGGUUUAAACCAUAAAACCUAACCCUAAACUCUGAAAUCUAAACCCUAGCACUAAACGCUAAAAAUGUCUAAAAAAUGUCUAAAACGCCCAAAAACUCUAUUUUCCCUUUGGAAUUUUAUGAUUUUAAAAAAUUGUCGAAACGGAAAACUGAUUUGGAUCGAAGUCGCGAUAGUAGUGGUGCGGUGGCAGUGGGGGAGGAGGCGAGGGUGGCGGCGAAGGGUGAUGGCGGCUAGAAUAUGAGGCAGUCCUUGAAGGAGGAUGGGGGUAUGCUGCUUGUACCUACUAUUGUACUAUUUGUGUGACUAUUCAUGCAUUAGCUUUUGUGAAGUUUCAGGUCAACCCUAUGCCAAGUUCUUAGUUAGUAUUUCCUUACAUACUAUCGACAUCAUUCUCUAGGAAAAACAUAUUGUCUGCGUGCUAUCUUUUCUCUAUCUAAAAAAAUCAUUAUGUUUUCCUUUUCGGCCAAAACAUUGAGGAUCCCCGCCAAAUUAUUAUGUUGUCCUUUUCUCAAUCAGUGACAAAAUUUGUGUGAGAUGUUCUCCCGUCCCUUUCAACCAAAUCCAAUAUCACAAAAAAAGUCAAAAGACCAAAGAACACAAACAAACAUUGAGGUGCGUUUGGCUACUUAUGGCAUUCAAUUUGUUCACCAAAAUAGAUCCUUGAGAAGAUCUUCCUUUCGUGUGAAUACAUGUCACUGGCCUGCAUACCAGAAAAAUAACGUUAAGCUCUUUAUGGAUUAUAUGUCCUUGAGAAGUACUAAACUUUCUGCUAACUUUUGAAGUACAAGUUCUACUGUAUUGGCAUGGGAAAAGCAUAUUCAUUACUAAUUAAAGUUGAGGAUAUGUUUCCGCAAAGAAUAUUCAUUUUUCAUAUUGCUUAUUUCCAUUGCAUAAAAUUGUACUUAUGUAUGCUAAUAGCUUCACUCGAAUAGUUCUCUAGAUUUUUUUGGUAGUUCAUAUCAUCCAAUAGUUUGAUAUGUUUGUCAUUAUUCUAAAAACUAGCGAAGCUUCACUCGAAUUUUAUAUGUUUUGUUAUAGGACCAGAUUAUCUGGUUUAUCUAAAAAAUAUAACCAUAUAUGAUAUCAUUUACAAAUACGUUGUUUUUUAUAUCCAUUUAGCAUUACCUUCUAAUUAUGUAUUACAUGUCCUACUAACUGCAUUUUUUUAUCAGCCGCGGCGUUAAUAUUAUAUUUGUAACGUUUUUCUGGUACUUUUAUCAUGCUACAUUAUUAUAUCCUUUUCUAUAAAAUUAUAUUUUAUAGUUUCAUUGGUUUCAUGGAGACAUAGGUAAAUUUGCUAAAAUUGUGGAAGUUCGACAUAUUAAUUUUAUUUUUAGUGAUUGUUUAUUCUAAGUGUUUUUUAAAAUUCUUCUAUGUAGGUAGAGUGUUUUUUAAAAUUUGCUAAAAAUAAGAUUGUAAACCACAAUAAGCCUGACUAUUAUAUUUCAAGAUUUGUUGCAUACACUAUAUAUAUAUAUGAAUGGUAUUACUGAUGGAAGUAUGUUAGUGUCGAUUGGAACUUCAUUAACACACCUGCUAGUUUGUAAUGAAUUGAACUUAUUUGGUUUAUGCUAAUUGUAAAUAAAACAUGGUCCUAUAUAUGUGUCACAGAAAGAAAUUCAGAUAGAAGAGAGAAAAAGAUGGGAAAACUCACUGUCAGGUCCAUAGUAGAAUUGCAGGAAAUCAGCAUUCAUGUCUCCUUUCAUGUUUAAACAUCAACAGUCUAGAGCCCUUUUGCCAUACAUUACUGGGAACCAUGUAACCAUGCAUAUAGUUACAACUAUCUAUAUAUGGCCCAAAAAUUAAAUCUAAUUAUCUGAUCUAACAACAAAAAGUAUACAAUCUAGCAGUUACAUAUAUGGAAAAUAUUCAGAAAAUUGUUUUCAUUCUUGGUGAUCAAGUCGAUUGCAUAAUUAUUUUCAUGCGAUCGACUUCAAGGAUGAAAACAGAGUAGAGAUGACCGUGUCAUUAGUCCGGUACAGUUCCUUCACACGACAGAUUCAUGACACCCAAGGUAGCCUAUGUUGGCACAGGCAUGGCCUUGACGACGCACACCUCGAGUAUUUUCUGACGACGGCACACGUACAAUCUACAGCCGAUUACUUUCCAGCCGGUAGAGUGGAGGCCUGUCGUACAUAGAACUGUUUCGUCAAGAUAGGCAGGAUGUAUAUGGCGAGGUGCACACUAAGCCUGAAGCAGCUAGUCUAGCUGCUGGAUGGUUCACGGAUGGUUCAUGCACGUACAGGAAGCUAGCUUAGCUAAGCUAGCGAUCAACUCAAUACAAGCUAGCUCAAUGCCUUGAUCUUUCGAUCUCACCGAGACACAGCAUAACACACACACGGAGACGCUGAUUUGAUGGCUAUAGGCCCGUGUCGAGUCUGUUUUUCUUUCUUUGAUCUAGGCCACAAAAUCUUUCAGUUACAAGUAUAUAUACGAUCCAAGCUAGCCUAGACCUAUACUACUCGGUGGCUUGUUCAUGUCCAACCCGAACAAUGACUGCGUGGUUGCAUCAUUACACCUCCUCCGCCUCCGCAUCAAACAAUUGUAAGAUUGAUUCAGUGGUUGCCCUAGAAAAAUAUAUAUUGGAUUGUUGCAUGCAUGGUUCGAGCCUGGAACAUGACAGGAUUAAUUAUGAUAGAGGAAAAGGACUGGGGAGAGACGCGAAUUGACAUGUGACAUUGAAGCAGGACAUACACGAAUUUGGGAAAAAGAAAACUAAGCACCAAGGAGCUAUGUACCUAGACCUGAGCGAGGAGGCUGUGGGCUGCUGCUUGUGCGAGACGGCGCAGAAGAGAAGAGGUGUCAGGGAUCUAGAAUCGAUGGUGAUGUUUUGUAUAGCGAUCGUGGUGUUUUUUGGAGCGAUCAUGGUGUUGUUGGAUAGGUGAUGUUGGAAAGAUGGAGUUUGAACGGGAGGAGGAGGAGCUGAUCACGUCUAUCCCUUUGUGCAUGUUUUUUUUUUGCUAAUUGAAAGGUUAUUUCGGUAAGGGCAUUGGUGGGUAAUUUACUUGACUGCUGAAGACACAUUAGAAGAUCAAAUGGUUGUUAUUCUCUAGUCCAUUAAAUAAAAGGACGGAUGUUUCUAAUUUUUGUGGGAUUUUACAAUUAAUUCUCUUGUCUCUAGUUAACCCAUCAAGCACUUUUUAUAUAUAAAUAGAUUGAUUUGUGUAGAAGAUCAAAAACAAUGUUAUCCAGUAGUUUGAUAUUUGUUGUCAUUAUUCCAAAAAAUGAUAUGUGUAGCGUAUUGAAAAUAAUUGGAUGCUGAUGCAAUCAUGGAGUGAGGACAUGUAUAGGGGUGCUUUCUAAUGGUACAUAACUCCGUAAUGAAAUCAAGAGCAACAUAUCUCCGUUACCCAAUGAUGGUUGUCCUCAUAGUACAAACUUUGCCACCGUUGACACACUACGCAGAUGCCAUAUCCUUUCUUCCACCCACAGGACACGACAUUCCGGUCAGUCUUGUACUGUUGGGAUGCUUGAUAUGCUGGAGUUGGUCCUGGCUGCAGUGGUGUCCCUGUUCCUCCAUGGCAAUGGCAAUCGCCAUGUAGCUGGAACAUGUAUAAUUUUGUUUUAGAAGGGGUGUUGAUUUGUCUCUCUCUCUUUGUAGCCUUCUGAAUUUCACAACUGUAACCAAUUUGGGUGUAAAGAUGUACUUCAGCAUGUGUUUUAUUCUCUAAAAUUUUAUACAGACCGGGAGUACGAGACUUUUGUUUGGAAGAAGAUACGUGCAUGUUCCACAACUCAAAAAUGGCAGUGUAUAGGAGAAUUGUGAUCCCUCUUUCAGUGCAGCCAAAAUGCAUGCACAACUUUGCAUACAAGAAUUGCAAUAUGAAAUCUAUGAACUUGAACAUUUGUCUCACCUGCAUAAAGAGAGAGAACACACGUUGUGUACUCGAUGAGAUGGUCUGCUCCUAUAUUGGUAAAAUUAGUAUCAGGUUCCCUUUUUGGGCCUACAAUAUUUUGUGCUCGCACUUGAUUGUUUCUUCAUGUACCACAAUAUUUUAGUUUCAAAUAGAUUAAAAUAGUCGUGUACAAGUUAUGUAGUUUUCAUUAUAGUUAUUUUGAUUCCGUAGCGAAGCGUGAGGAAAUCUAAUGGUUCAUGACAACUCCACAUUGAAAGAGGCUUGUGAAGAUUUUUGCUCGAGAAUUCCAGAGGAUUAUUCUUGUCAAAUUUGCUCUCACACCUUGGGCGUCAUGUUUUCCAGUUGCAAUACACGGGCAUUUUUCAUAGUAAUAGUAAUAAUAAUAUGACUUCCAUAAUGCAACUAAAUUUUAUUUCACAACAUAUAAAAGAAAACAAUGGAAAAUAGGAUGCUGCAUGCACAUGUGCUGGGGCUACUAUGAAAGUUAUUACAACAGGCAUGCAUAUGUAUAUAUAUAAAAGACAUAGACAUAUAAAAUAACUCAGAUGUCCAUAGUUCUAUUAGAUUGUCCUAAGCUCAUCCAUCAAGGUGCACGUAGCCAAGGUUUAUAGCCCCUUUAGCUAUCUCAAAACUUAUAAGGGCAUCGAACGCAGCAUAUCUGAUUCUUUCAUAGCUCAAUGCAGCAAUCGCCCAUCCGGAGUUCUUCAGUUGCUUGCCCUCGUUGCCCUUCUCCAGAUUCGUUCCCAACACAAAAUUUGCUAGAUAAAAUUGCGACGGUGUAGAUUUACCGCAUGUUGUUUUUGGUAUUUUAAUGUGGGUCUGUAGGUCAAUGGGAUUUUUUACAUGGAGGCCAUAUGGCUGAAGCAUUUUUACAUCAUUGCCAAUUGCCGCUCCACAAAAGAAGAUAUCUUCAUGAGCAAGAAAUUUGUUGAGCUCGUCUGGUAUGUGAGGCGAGUGCACGAUGUGGUACACCAAGCAAUGAUCUGCAAAACACAGUUGAAGUACGGCGGCGCAUCGCUCCAUUCCCGAGGGCAGGUCCUUCUGCUUCACCCCAUCGACUUGGUCGGUGAACUCACAGUCUAGACCAACAAUCUUCUUUUCUACCGUUUGGAGGGAUUUCAACAAACUCUUGACCCAUUCCUCAACGACGCCUGGUUCAUUGGCGACCGUCACGGUUACCUUGAAGCCGGCAAGUUGCUCAAAGCGAUGAACUGCAGGCUGAGCCACCAGAAUGGCAACAGAGUGAUCAUCUUCAUCUGGAGCUAGCGGAGGCAGCAGAGUAUAAUCAAAGAUGGAAAUAGUGUGCGGCUGGAGUAGCUCCAAGGAGCAUGGCGAAGCGAGCAUAUCAUUGGCAUUGUUCUCCUUAGGAAGAGCCCUGCAGUCAUAUACCAAGUGAGCGAUAGGGGAUAGCAUGAACAAAUAAAACACAUCUUUUUUUAGUAUUACUACAUGUCAACGCCAAACGAAUAGAACUAUAAAUAACUCAAAACAAAUUAGUCCCGUUCAAUAGAUGAAGAGUUCUUCUCAAAAGAAAAACUGAACAUGCUAAGGAACAAAAUCCUAGAUCUAUAUUCUGAAAAUGAAUCUGAGUGCCCAUCUUUUUUUGUUUUGCAAGAUGAAUUAAAGCGCUCAUCUUUGCCGUCACGCAAUAUACUGCUUGAAACUCCAAUCUUCAAAUGCAUGAACUUUAAAAGAAAGCUGGGGCUAAAUUGGACUGGACAAAAUUUUCAAGACAUCGUACAGAGAAAAAUUCACAAGCAAAACACCACAAAUUCGUCCACAAGAUGGCAAAAUAAGACUGCAUGAGCACAUUGCCUAUCAUAAAAUAAGAAGACAAAAAAAUGAGUUGCAGUAGUAUAAUAUUAUACCUUGAUGACUUCGUUUUGGCUUGCAGCGGCUCCAUAGUCAGGUGUAUUGCAAAUUGCAAUAUCCACUAUAUCUACGCCGCAGAUGUUUCUUCUCAGACUGAUGGAUUUUAUGUGAUGUGAUCGAGGGGAUGGUUUGUCAAUCCGGCCAAAAGGGUGCUUAUAAGCUAGCCGAUUGGGAUAAAAAUAGCAAGCAUUGAUAUUCGCGUUUUGGGAAGGAAACAAUAAGGAUUUUGGCGCGAUACUUAUCCGCAGCGAUUUUUAAUAGCUUUCUUUAUGUUUCAUUCGCAUCAAAUAGCAAGUAUUGAUAUUCGCGUCACCUUUUUUAUGUGAACGUGGUAGCUUUGGUUUACCAUUUUUGAAUGUGAAUGUGCUCUAAUUUUAUUUAACGUUUUUGCAUGCGAACCAUGGUCUAUUAUCCUUUUUUGUUUUAGGAAUGUGGUCGAUUUCACAUUCACAUAGGAUGUAUUUGGUUGUUCCUAGAAAUUUUGCCUGCAUUGCAUGUGUCUCUCAGUUAGGCCGGUUAAUAAAAAAUCAUCAUGUGCAUAUCGUUUCACUACUAGAAAAAGGCUUAUAGGUGGCCCCUAACAAGUGGCGCGCGCAUAUAAGCACCCGCCACAGCUAUUUUUAAAAAAAUUGCAGUGGCGGGUGCUAUAAACUAUUCACCACUGGCUAUCCAAAUAAUAGUGACGGGCAUAAGUAAGGACCCUCCAUUACGUCACUCUUGAUAAUUUCUUUACGGUCGAAAAGUAAUAGUGGCGGCAACGUACAACAGGACCACCACUGGUGCCAUGCUAAUCAAUGGCGACCCGUUUCUUGCCACCGCCAUAGACCCGCCCCCACCGGUUCCUAAUUUUAUAAGAGUUUGCAGUGGUGGCUCCUAUUAGGCGCCCGUCACGUCUAUAUUUGGUCACCCUGCCACCUACCACUCAAAUAUAGCUGUGGCGGGUGCUAUCUGCUGCCCGUCACUCUUAUGCAUGACCUUAUCCACCCCACCCACCACCCACAGCCAGUCGCACAUUAUCUAUCUAGACAUAAAUAUUUCUCCCUCUGCCUCUCUCUCGCCACGCCGACGGCACGAGUAUUGUGGCGUCCUCCGCCGCUGCCACCGGCAAGGUCGCCGUCCGCUGCCUCGGACGGCGUCAUGGACCCAACCUUCCAUGUCGCCCGCGCCAUUUUUCGCCGCCUCGAAGUCAUCGGCCUUGCCAUCCAACGCCACCUCCAACUACUUCCUUGUCACUAUCGCACGUGCCUUCCUCCGCCUCCGACGUCACCGGCGUCCCCAUCAAACUCACCGUCCAUCUCCGCCAUCGUCCUCGCCCUUCCCACCAUCUCCGUACGCCCCGGUAACCACACCUCCUGUCUCUCUGUUAAUGGAGAUGAUAGUUGUUCUCAUUUAUUGUACUUGUACAUUAGCAACAUUUCGCUAGUGUAGUUAAAAAAAUUUAUAGGAUGUAUUGUAGUUGUAUCUUGUUAUAUGAUGUACCAUUUAAUCUUUGUAAUUGGACGUCUUCAAUUUGAUUGCUUGUGCUAGAGGACUAGGUACUGCAUAUACGGAUCAAAAUAUGGUACAAUAUUUUAUUCAUGAUGCAGAUAUUCGUAACUAACGUGAUGAACCUACUUAAGAGUGAGAAAUGUCCACUCAAAGGACAUAUAUGGACCGUUGUCGUAACAAUUCUAUCUUUUAUAUUGUCGUAAAUCUUCUUUCAUGCAAAUGUCUUUUAUCUAAAGGUCAACUUGUUUAAUGCAUUUAGAUGGAGAAGCCGGGAUGCCUCGUUAGGACUCCUACACCCGUAGACCGAACUUCUACAGCCGUAGGCAUCGUCACGAGGAUGGAUGAGUACACGAAGAUCAUGCUCGACUAUGCCGAGAGCGCUCGAGUAGCCACCAAUAGCGCUCGGGCAUACGUCUAGGGCACUGCAACAUAUGCCGAGAGUGUGAGAAGAGCCGCUGAGAGAACAAGAGCAGCCACGCUGAGAGUACAAGAGCAGCCACCAAGGGUGCGCGAGCACCUGGCGGAGUGCGUGAGUAGCUAUCAAAUCUGUCAGGACCGCCCAAGCCAAGAUCACGAAGAUGUUAGAAGGCGAGGAGACCUCAUGAUGGAGCUGAACUUUUACUUCUGAACUAGUAGUGCACUUCCUUUAUGUGAUCUAUAUGAUCGAUGCGUGUGAACCGAAUUUCUAUGUUACAAUGAUGGAGUUGAACUUUUGCUUCUGAACUACUAGUGAACUGCAUUUAUGUCAUUUGUAUUGUUGAUACUUCUGAACAUAUUUUCUAUGAUGCUCUGAAGAUUGUUAUAUGACUUUUCUCCAUGCGAUUGGAUAACUAUGAGAUUGACUUGUUAGCUUGUUUAUUUAUCUUUGUAGAUAAGUUGUACUAUGGGAAGAAUCCAGGAGUCUAUGAUUCAUGAAAGAAAUGCAAUGAACAAGUGGACGCUUAGGAGAACACUAGCACAAACAUCCGUGUGUUGCAACGGCGGGGAAAUACCUAUUCUUAUGAACCACGAUUUGCUGGGUAAGGAACUAUGUCAAGGGAGAAUGGUCGUCGAUGCAAAAAGAUGCAUAAUUUAAGGACCACGAUGUAGAGCACAUGGGGUGUGAUUCGGAGUAAAUCGAUCUGAUUGGCAAUGUUUUUCUUGGAAAAACUUUCAAUCUAUUUAUCAAAUAUCAUGGUAAUAUAUUGAACAUCAUUAGUAUUCUCUCCGUCCCAAAAUUCUUGUCUUAAAUUAGUUUAGAUACGGAUGUAUCAAGUCAGAUGUAUCUAAUACUAAACCAUGACUUGAUACAUCCGUAUUUAGACAAAUCUUAGAGAAGAAUUUUAGGACGGAGGGAGUACUAAAAAUUACAUCCAUGCCGUGUGUUACAACAUGAUAAAACUUCACCACACUCUGACACUCCUAAUCCAAUUAUUAUGGUUUCUCAAAAAAAAGUAUAGCCAAAUAUCCCUAACAUGAGGAAGAAUUGUUCUUUCAAGCCGACCAUCUCUACAAAACGUCUAACAAAAUUAUGUAUUUUUGUGUGUGUGUGGGGGGGGGGGGGAUACAUGCAGUGUUCAACUUGCGUCCCAUGCUUCCGUAAUGAGUAAACACCAUAAUGCUUUUGCAAAAAAAAGAAAAUCAGAAAAUCGGCUUACGGUAGAGAGUUGAUCAAAAUGCAAUACUGCAUUUUUUAUUGGCGUAUAUGUUUAAAUGCGCAAGUGCAUGUUAUAAUCCCCAAAGGUCCAGCUCUCUUGUUAGAUUCCUUAUUCCCUUGACACAAUGAACCAAUUUAGAUUCUUGCGUGGAUCCUCGUCUCAAUCUCUUUCCAAAUUAGCAUGCUUGCACUGCUUUCCGCAUUAUCACGUCUAAAUUUCCUUUAGCAUAGACUGCUUUCCUUACUAUUCUGGCUCAAUUCCUUCUCAUAUCCUUUCCAUGCUUUACUUCUUUAUUUCUCUUGCUGCAUGUUGAAACGUCGGUUGAAAUCCUCUCUAUAGAGCCGGAACUCAAUUUUUACCCUUCACUUAUUGAUUUUCGAGAUGACUCCUUGAUACCCUGAAAACUUAAAGACCUAUAUAAGUUAGAAGGAUUGGAUGUAAAAAAGGCUAGGUGGUACUAUUUAAUAGAUCAUAUAAAAUUACAUUUCAAAUCAAAGAUUCAGCUUGGUCGCCUAGUAGCACAAUAUUUACCUGACUGUGAAGUUGUGAGUUCAAUUCCAGGCCCAAACAAAUUUUUUGCCCUUGCUUUUUUACCCCCUAUGUGGGCUCCCAGGUAGAAAUACAAACGCACAAAAGCCCACCUAGAGGCCCAACCGUGCGACACAAGGAAAUAUCGAACACAGCGGAGAACGAUGGAGGAAAAUUGUCUGACGUACGAAGAAACGGACCGAACGGACGAUAAUUCAGGAGUAAGAAGCGAUCAACCCUUUAAUAGUAGGUAUAGAAGUGCUAUCAAGGAUAUAAGACUAAUAAAGAAGCAGAGGAUCAUUACGCCAACUUCAUCCGCAAAGAGAAAAUCAACUAUUACGUAUGCAAGACCGCGUGGACAAGUACACGAGUAAAGAAUUUGAUUACCUUUAUCCAGUUCAUUUUCAUUAUGGUGGUGUUUUUAUCAUGUGGUCUUGUAUAUAUGUAACAUGUUGGAGGCUUCGCUGAGAAGGCUAUGUGUACUAAUGAUGUUACGUGAGAUGUUGUCUAAUGCGUACAUCUAUUGUAUUGUAUUUGGAUUAUAGUUAUGGUAAAAUGUGCCGCUUGUUAAGGUACAUUGUGAUGCGGCUAAUCUCAGAAACGUCAAUUGUAAUGUGUAUUAUCACAUAUGUUACUUGUUCUUACUGUUUGUUGUCGGAUUUGUGUUGGCGGCUGGACAUGUAGUUGUGGUUGGUGCCCCAAAUUCCCUACCACAACUAACAAUAUAUUCCUGUGGCGGGCCGCAAGCAGAUAUGCCCGCCACUGCAAAGUCUCUAUGAGUGGCCCGCAUCUAGGCUGCCUACAUUAGGGGAGCAGUUUUAGUGGUUGGGUUGAUGCAACUACAUGGUGUUUGAUUGCAUACAGGCUUUGAGAUCUGCUGACCUUGUACCCUAGGUGGUGAGCUUACUAGCUACAACUUACAUAUGAUCACACCAAUCACACAAAUAAAACAAUACUAAAUCUCGAUGAACUGGACAAUGAUGAUCAAGUUCUUGAUCUGAAACCUUCCAAGUUGUUGACGAGCCUUGUCUACUUCAACAUUGCUUGUAUGCGUGUACACAAACUUGGAGUAAGCAUCCACUUCCUGCUGCCUAGUCUUUACCCUUUGUAGGAGUUCUUUGGGUAAUGGUUGACUUGUUCUUCGCAUGUGUUCCAUGAACUAUAAGCCCCUAGAACCCUUCCUUCGUACACCACAUACCUGUUCUCCUACCAUGACAGAAGAGUAACAAUUCAAGUAGCAGGCAAUGAAGCAUAGUAGACAUGUAAAAUAAGCAAGCAUGCAUGAUCAUAGGGCAUGGCAAGUUUAUCCUGCCACUAUUAAGGUGUCAUCCUACCACCACAUCCAAAAGAGGGUGUGAUCCUACCACCGCAAGUUUGCCAUCAGCGUGAGGGGUUAGUAUAUAUCACAUCAUCAAAAUAUGCAGGCCGGCAAUAGCUUUCAAGCCCUAUCUACCACAAAAUAUAGAUCGUCAUCACCAUCGCCAUCGAGGAUCAUGCACGUCGUGAUACGUCUCAAACGUAUCUAGAAUAUUUUACUGUCUCAUACUAUUAUAUUAUCACUUCUAUAUAAUAUUUCUAGUAAUUUAUACUAUUUUUGUAGACUAAUUAAUUGAAUGCCCAAUGCUUGUUCUUAUUUUUCUGCUUGCUUUUGGUUUCAUAGGGAAUCAGUAUCUAUGGAGGUCCAAAUCACUUGUCGGUUUAAUACAAAUUCUAUAUUGGCAACACGAAACCAGGGAGGCUUUGGAAGAGAUCGAGAUGAGCAGCAUAGGGUAGGGCGCACCACCUAGCCGUCUGGGGCCCGCUUGCACCGCCUUACAUCCAUUCCACCGCCAUAGAUUCCUAUAAAUUAUGGAACGCUCCGCCAUAUUUAUAGAUUUUAUUAUCACCUCCGCAAGGUCGUGUUUCGCGAAGAUCCCAUAUGAAUAGUAUUUUGACACUAUUCACAUAUGCUUUUUUCUUUCUUUUUUAUAUUAGUUUAAUUCGAAUUAGGAGCUUAAACUUUUUGAGUUUGUACAUCAACCAUUGAUGUGUGCCUAUAAUUGUUUCUCUGAAUGGUUGAAGAUGUUUUGUAUUUUUUAAAUUUAUCUCAUUUAAUGUGAGAUCCUAUACUAGUCUCCCCAAGUUGUUGAGGUAGACUUUUUAGGAGGUGAUGCUUCCUACGGACUGCAGCUGUGAUCAUCUAGGGGCGCCACACAUGGUUAUUCCCUGCAGCGUUGUCCACCUUCUGGAAGUCUGGUGUCUCCAAAUUCUGUUUUACUUUCGACAACAGGUUUGAUGGCCCCUUCAAUCGUCAAUAAUGAUGUUGUCUAAGGAGGAACCUUCCUCCCCGGACAGAUUUCUGUGUUCGGCGGCUUCGUACUGCGGGCCAACUUGCUUGGCCAUCUGGAGCAUGUCGACAGCUACACCCCUGGCCAUCAGGUCAGAUUUGGAAGCUUGAGCUAUGUCACAGAUAUCCGUGGGGACUUGAUCUUCAAUGGAUUCGAGACCGCGGCGAUCGCUCCCCCUCGCUCUGAUGAACAUGACUUAAAUCCGUCACCGGAUCACAUCCAGGAGAUGGUUCCUGUUGCUGCAACGGCCUUAGAUCCGGAGCAGAUCAUACUGUCCGAGGCCACAGAGUCCGCAGCGUUGGAGCUGCACACGGACUCAACACCUUGCAAUAUUUGCUUCAACGGAACCUCGGACUCGUCUCCGGCUCUAAGUUCCGGACCAUGUGCGCCUGCGGACAACGAGCUAGAUCGGUUAUUGACCUUCGAAUUCAAUGCCGCUGACGUUUUCGAGCACUCACCUUUGGGCGAUGUACUGAACUCUCUAAAGAAUCUGUCCUUGGAGAAAGACUCACAGCCGAACUAUGUUCGGUUCGAGUUAGAGGCCGAUGAUGGGGAAUUUUGCUUCCCACCCGCCACCCACUUCACAGCUACCGUCGAGGACUUAACCGAUGAGCUCGACUAUGGCUCCGAAGACAUAGACGGUAUGGACGAUGAUGCCGACAAGGAGCAAGGCCAAGACCCACCAUUCACUGGACGUUGGAUGGUCACCUCUUCGUACGACAUAUACAUGGUUGAUACACCUAAAGGAUCUGGCGACAACAAAGAAGAGCCAGAUGCGAAUAAACACUCCGAGACACAGUCCAAACACCGGCGCCCUAAAGCCGCUCUAAGCCUCGUCGCUCAAAAGAUGGCAACACUGGCACCGGAGAAAACAGUACUCCAGCGACGCCGAAAACAUUGAAGACCCUGUUGGAGCCGCAUCCGAACAGGAGGAUCAGGACAACGAGUAGGUUAACCCUGAUAAAUAGGCCACGCCCAAUGACCCGGAUGACGAUAGUUAUCGUCCACCCUCCGAGGAUGAUGAGAGCCUUGGCAAUGAAGACUUCAUCGUGCCUGAGGCACCCCUCAAACAGGAGCGCUUUAAGUGCCAGCUCAUAGCUACUGCAAGAAGCCUAAAGAAAAAGCAGCAGCAGCUCCAAGCAGAUCAAGACCUACUCAUCGACAGAUGGACAUACGUCCUGGCAGCCGAAGAAUACGGCCUCAAGCGCCUAGCCAAGAGUUAUCAAAAAUGCAGACUGCUACCUCAGUUCGAUGAGGAGGCACCAGAUCCCAUACCUCCCUUGCGCAAUGCGGACCGACCACCAUGCGGUCGGGACAGUGCGGCAGACCAAACACCCCGCGGUCGGGAUAAAAUGGCAACUCAGGCCGAACAACAGCCCGCCCCAACUCAAGGAUAGACUAUCUCGGGACCAUACAUACGAUCUUCGGCAGGAAUUGGACAGUAAAGCAGGACACACCAGAUCUAUAUACGGAUCGCGAGGACGCUUCCCUACUCGGGAUGACAGCUACCUAUUCGGACGUGACAAACUUAAUCACACCCGGGCAGAUAACCAUAGAUGGACUUAGUCGAAGGUGCGCACACCCUCUUUGCUUCACAGAUGAGGUGCUAUAGAGACGCCGCACACCCUCUUUGCUUCACAGAUGAGGUGCUGGAUCACGAAUUCCCCGAGGGGUUCAAGCCUGUCAAUAUUGAAUCAUACGACGGAUCAACUGACCCUGCAGUGUGGAUCGAAGAUUUUAUUCUCCACAUCCACAUGGCACGAGGAGAUGACCUCCAUGCUAUCAAAUACCUCCCAUUAAAGCUCAAAUGACCAGCUCGACACUGGCUAAAUAGUCUCCCUGAGAACUCCAUCGGUAGCUGGGAGGACUUGGAAGAAGCCUUGCUCGACAACUUCCAAGGUACAUAUGUUCGGCCACCCGAUGCCGAUGACUUAAGCCACAUAGUUCAACAACCUGGAGAAUCAGCAAGAAAAUUCUAAACUAGGUUCCUAACCAAAAAGAACCAGAUCGUUGACUGUUCAGAUGCCGAAGCCCUAGCAGCCUUCAAACGCAGCAUCCGUGACGAAUGGCUCGCCCGCCACCUCGGCCAAGAAAAACCGAAAUCCAUGGCAGCCCUCACACCACUCAUGACUCACUUUUGCGCGGGUGAGGUGAUGACCCACAAGUAUAGGGUAUCUAUUGUAGUUCUUUCGAUAAGUAAGAGUGUCGAACCCAACGAGGAGCAGAAGGAAAUGAUAAGUGUUUUUCAGCAAGGUAUUCUCUGCAAGCAUUGAAAUUAUAGGUAACAGAUAGUUUUGUGAUAAGAUAAUUGGUAACAAGCAACAAGUAACAAAAGUAAACAAAGUGCAGUAAGGUGGCCCAAUCCUUUUUGUAGCAAAGGACAAGCCUGGACAAGCUCUUAUUUAGAGAAAAGCGCUCCCAGGGACACAUGGGAAUUAUCGUCAAGCUAGGUUUCAUCACGAUCAUAUGAUUCGCGUUCGGUACUUUGAUAAUCUAAUAUGUGGGUGGACCGGUGCUUGGGUACUGCCCUUACUUGGACAAGUACCCCACUUAUGAUUAACCUCUAUUGCAAGCAUCCGCAACUGCAACAAAAGUAUUAAGGUAAACCUAACAUUAGCAUGAAACAACGCAUAAACUAGGGUUUAAGCUUCUUUCACUCUAGCAACCCAUCAUCUACUUAUUACUUCCCAGUGCCUUCUUCUAGGCCCAAAUAAUGGUGAAGUGUCAUGUAGUUGACGUUAACAUAACACCACUAGCGGAGAGACAACAUACAUCUCAUCAAAAUAUCGAACGAAUACCAAAUUCACAUGACUACUAAUAGCAAGACUUCUCCCAUGUCCUCAGGGACAAACGUAACUACUCACAAAGCAUAUUCAUGUUCAUAAUCAGAGGAGUAUUAAUAUACAUAAAGGAUCUGAACAUAUGAUCUUCCACCAAAUAAACCAACUAGCAUCAACUACAAGGAGUAAUCAACACUACUAGCAACCCACAGGUACCAGUCCCAGACUUAGAGACGAGAAUUGGAUACAAGAGAUGACUAGGGUUUGAGAGGAGAUGGUGCUGGUGAAGAUGUUGAUGGAGAUUUCCCCCAUCCCGAUGAGAGGAUCGUUGGUGAUGAUGAUGGUGAUGAUUUCCCCCUCCCGGAGGGAAGUGUCCCUGGUAGAACAGCUCAGCUGGAGCCCUAGAUUGGAUCUGCCAAGGUUCCGCCUGGUGGCGGUGGAGUCUCGUCCCGAAAGCUUGCUUAUGAUUUUUUCCUCAAAGAAAGACUCCAUAUAGCAGAAGAUGGGCAUCAGAGGGCCACCAGGGGACCCACGAGGCAGGGGGCGCGCCCAGGGGGGUAGGGCACGGCCCCCACCCUCGUGGGCAGGGUGUGGCCCCCCUCCGGAACUUCUCGCGCUCAGUAUUUUUUAUAUAUUCUGAAAAUGACUUCCGUGAAGUUUCAGGACUUUUGGAGCUGUGUAGAAUAGGUCUCUAAUAUUUGCUCCUUUUCCAGCCCAGAAUCCCAGCUGCCGGCAUGCUCCCUCUUUAUGUAAACCUUGUAAAAUAAGAGAGAAUGAGCAUAAGUAUUGUGACAUAAUGUGUAAUAAUAGCCCAUAAUGCAAUAAAUAUCGAUAUAAAAGCAUGAUGCAAAAUGGACAUAUCAACUCCCCCAAGCUUAGACCUCGCUUGUCCUCAAGUGGAAGCCGAUAACGAUAAAUAUGUCCACAUGUUUAGAGGUAGAGGACUCGAUAAAAUAAAAUAUGGACAUGAGGGCAUCAGGACUAUUCUCAUAACAGCAACAUAUAUGGAUAUUGUCAUAUGAUUUCUUACGCUAGAGUAACAAUUCAAUCACAAUCUCAAGUAUGAAUCAUAAACUUCAUUGAAAACUAACCAAACUAUAAUCUCAGUCAUUGAAGCAAUUGCAAUUUAUCAUAACAUAGGAAAGAGUCAAUAUAAGAGAUUUGCAGCAAGUCCACAUAGUCAACUAUCAUGUAGUCUUUCACAAUUGCUGACAAUCACGCAAUACUUAUGGGUAUGGAGUUUUAACCGGACACAGAGAAAGAUAGGGGCUUAUAGUUUUGCCUCCCAACGUUUUACCUCAAGGGUAAUGUCAACAAUAAUAUUUCAUGAAAACUCACAUCCAAUUAGCCAUAUAUACCAAGAUCUUUCCAACAUAUUGUGCUUGCCAAAAGAUAAAAUAUAAAAGGGAAGGGUGAAGAUCACCAUGACUCUUAUGUAAGGUAGGAGAUAAAGGUAAAAUAUUGGAGUUUCGCAGAGGGAAGCAGAGGUUGUCAUGCACUUUAAUAGUUGGAUGCACAAAAUCUUAAUGCAAAAGAACGUCACUUCAUAUUGCCACUUGUGAUAUGGACCUUUAUUAUGCAGUCUGUCGCUUUUAUUUCUUCCAUAUCACACGAUCGUAUAAAGUUUAUUUUCUCCCACACUAACAAGUCAUGCAUAUUUAGAGAGCUUUUUUAUUGCUUGCAUCGAUGACAACUUACUUGGAGGAUCUUACUCAAUCCAUAGGUAGAUAUGGUGGACUCUCAUGGCAAAACUGGUUUAAGGGUGUUUGCAAGCACAUGUAGUAUCUCUACUUAGUGCAAAGAAUUUGGCUAGCAUGAGGGGGAAAGGAAAGCUCAAACAAGUUGGAUGAUCUAAGACAAUAUGAUUUAUCUCAGAUGUAAGAAAACAUAACCCAUUACGUUGUCUUCCUUGUCCAACGUCAACCCUUUAGCAUGUCAUAUUUUAAUGAGUGCUCACAAUCAUAAAAGAUGUCCAAGAUAGUGUAUUUAUAUGUGAAGACCUCUCUUUCUUUAUUACUUCCUAUUAAUUGCAACGAUGACCAAAACUAUGUUUGUCAACUCUCAAAAACUUUUAUUCAUCAUACUCUUUCUAUGUGAGCUCAUUACUCUCCAUAAGAUCAAUAUGAUCUCUUUUAUUUCAUUUUUAUUCUUUUUCUCUUUUCUUUUAUUCACUCAAGAUUAUAGAGAAAUAAUCAAGCCCUUGACUCAACACUAAUCUUUAUUAUAUAUAUAGCUUACAGACCCGAUUACAUAGAAGGAUCAUAAAGAAAAACUCACAACUAUAUCAUACUAAAACUUUAUGCUACUAGAUCAAGAUAUUACCAAAAGGAUCGAACUAAGAAAAAUGGUAAAGAUAGGAGUGAUGGUGAUACGAUACCGGGGCACUCCCCCAAGCUUGGCAGCUGCCAAGGGGAGUUCCCAUACCAGAUACUCAAUUCUUCUUUGUUGAUGGAGAGGGUGGAGUUGUCGAUGAUGUAGGCUUCUUCCUUAAUUUGCGUUUGAGGACAUAAUUUUGAUCCCUCGGGUCAUCGAUCUCCUGCUCAUGGCUUAAUAUCUUCUUGCAUAAUUUCUAUUUGUUUUCCUGCAAGAGGCAAAAAGGGAUAAACUCGAUCUUAGGUUUCUUUGCUCUAUCAGGGAGGCUUGACCUUUUGAACUCCACAUGCACAUCCACAGGUUGAGGUAAUGGGACUUCAUCCUCAUCUGAGCUCGUCUCCUCCUUUCCCUUAGGUUCAUAGUCCUCUUCUUCUUCCGUAGUCCAACCAAAAUGCUCCACGUCCCCAUAGACCUUAGGAUGUACAAGAUAAUCAGCCACAUAGCUUUCUCCUUCCGAAUCCUGGGACGACAUAUUGCUCUAAUCUAUAGCAGGAACAACUCGAAACAAGAACAUGAGAUUUUUGUGUGAUACGGUGGUCAAAACCUUCGGGAGAUUAUAUAAUGAAUUUUUACCAACCAAAAUACGUAUCAUGCAAGAAAACGGAGUCCGGAGAGCACACGAGGUGCCCACAAGGUAGGGGGGCGUGCCCUCCACCCUUGUGGAGCCCUCGUGUCCUUCCUGGACUGCUUCUUAUUUUUCUAUUUUUCUAAAUAUUCCAAAACGGAAGAAAAUUGCCAUUAGAACUGUUUUGGAGUUGGUUUACUUACCAUACCACAUACCUAUUCCUUUUCGGAGUCUGAAACGUUCCAGAAAGUGUUCCUUAUGUAUUCCUCUGGGGUUACGGUUUCAAUAACACUGGUUUCAACAUUUAUAGGAUUACCUGAGAUAUAAUGUUUGAUUCUUUGACCUUCACCACCUUCGGAUUUGUGCCUUCGAAGUUGUUGAUUUUUAAUGCACCGGAAUGAUAGACCUCCUCGAUAACAUAAGGACCUUCCCAUUUAGAGAGAAGUUUUCCUGCAAAAAAUCUUAAACGAGAGUUGUAUAGCAAUACAUAAUCACCUACAUUAAACUCACGCUUUUGUAUUCUUUUGUCAUGCCAUCUUUUAACUUUUUCUUUAAACAAUUUGGCAUUCUCAAUGGCUUGGGUUGUCCAUUCAUCAAGUGAGCUAACGUCAAAUAACCUCUUCUCACCGGCAAGCUUGAAAUCAUAGUUAAGCUCUUUAAUAUCCCAAUAAGCCUUAUGUUCUAGUUCGAGAGGUAAGUGACAUGCUUUUCCAUAAACCAUUUUAUACGGAGACAUACCCAUAGGAUUUUUAUAUGCAGUUCUAUAGGCCCAUAAUGCAUCAUCGAGUUUCUUGGACCAAUUCUUUCUAGACCUAUUAACAGUCUUUUGAAAAAUUAAUUUGAGUUCCCUAUUACUCAGUUCUACUUGACCACUAGACUGUGGGUGAUAAGGGGAUGCAAUUAUAUGAUUAACAUCAUAUUUAGCAAGCAUUUUACGGAAAGCACCAUGAAUAAAGUGUGAACCACCAUCAGUCAUUAAAUAUCUAGGGACUCCAAAAUUUGGAAAAAUAACUUCUUUAAGCAUCUUAAUAGAGGUGUUAUGACUGGCACUACUAGUUGGAAUAGCUUCUACCCACUUAAUAAUGUAAUCAACAGCAACUAAAAUAUGUGUAUAUCCAUUAGAGGAAGGAAAUGGUCCCAUAUAAUCAAAGCCCCAAACAUCAAAUGGUUCAAUAACAAGUGAAUAAUUCAUAGGCAUUUCUUGACGUCUACUAAUAUUACCAAUUCUUUGAUAUUCAUCACCAGAUACAACAAACUUACGGUCAUCCUUGAAGAGAGUAGGCCAAUAAAAACCGGAUUGCAAUACCUUAUGUGCAGUUCUAUCUCCAGCGUGGUGUCCUCCAUAAGCUUUGGUGUGACACUUGCGAAGGAUCUGUUCCUGUUCAUGCUUAGGUACACAACGUCUAAUGACACCAUCUACUCCAUCUUUAUAAAGGUGUGGGUCAUCCCAAAAGUAAUGCUGUAAAUCAUAGAAGAACUUUUUCUUUUGUUGGUAUGUGAAAUUAGGUGGUAUAAAUUUAGCAAUAAUGUAAUUAGCAUAAUCAGCAUACCAUGGAGUAGUAUGAGAAGCAUUUAUGACAUUUAAUUGUUCAUCAUGAAAGCUAUCAUCAAUAGGUAGUGGGUCAUCAAGAACAUUUUCUAACCUAGACAGGUUAUCUGCAACGGGGUUCUCAGCUCCCUUUCUAUCAAUAAUAUGCAAAUCAAAUUCGUGUAGCAACAGAACCCAUUAUGAGUCUAGGUUUAACAUGUUUAUUUCCAUAAGAUAUUUAAUAGCAGCAUGAUUAGUCUGAAUAGUUACUUUAGAAUCAACAAUAUAAGGUCUGAACUUAACAUAAGCAAAUAGAACUGCUAAGAAUUCUUUUUCAGUAGUAGCAUAAUUUCUCUGAGCAUUGUCUAGAGUUUUACUUGCAUAUUGAAUAACAUUUAAUUUCUUAUCAACUCUUUGUCCUAGAACAGCACCUACAACAUAAUCACUAGCAUCACACAUAAUUUCAAAGGGUAAAUUCCUAUCAGGUGGCUGAACAAUACACUACUAGAAAUACCACUACUAAUGGCGCACCUAAUAUGGCCAUUAAUGGCGCAUCACUAGUGCGCCAUUGAUAGCACGCCAUUAGUAGUGCACCAUUAGUAAUACCAGAUACUAAUGGCGCACCAGGUGGUGCGCCAUUAGUAUAUGCGAGGGUGCGCCAUUAGUAUGCCUCCCAGGGGGCAUGUAUACCCAGGUGCUUUGGCAUACUAAUGGCGCACCACCUCUGGAUGCGCCAUUAAUAACCGCAGCAUACUAAUGGCGCACUACCCGGUAAUGCGCCAUUAGUAUGCACUGUCAUACUAAUGGCGCACUGUCGUGUGAUGCGCCAUUAGUACGAAAAUUAGGUUUUUUUAUUUUUUUAUUUUCUGUUUUUUGCACAGGUUACAAAAUGUAUAAUUUGACAAAAUAUAGACAGCACACAUCAACAAUAGAUUCAUCAAAUACAAUAGAAGAUUAGUCUUUGAAUACAAUUCAUCAUAUUAGUCUCCGAAUACAAUUCAUCAUAUUAGUCUCCGAAUUAAAAAGACCGAACAAAGAUAGAACAUUAUAUUACAAGUCUCGAGACCGCGAGUAGCGAGUUUGUCUUCGCAUUACAAGUCGAUAUCGAUCAUCUAAACUACCAUCACAUAGAAGAGAGCUGCGGUCAUCACGAUGAGCAUCAUCACGAUGAAACUCGUCUUCAUCCGGUUCCUCCAACGCUCCCUCCCCUCUCCCGCUAGAUAGCGGGCGUAUCUAGAUUCGGCCUCGGCCCUAGUGGUGUACCCUUUGUAACUGUUACCGCUGAAUCGGUGAACCUGUCUCCGACACUCCUCCCAGUCAUCGUAGACUCCGGGAACCUUACCCUUGUACACGAUAUACGUCGGCAUCGCUAUGCACUAGCCAAACGAAACGUUAGUACCAAUUCACAGACAAUACAUAAGCAAUAUAUAAUUAUGCAACAGAACGAUCGGAAGAGAAAAGCAAGACAUUAAUAGCAUCGAUUACAUCUAAGUUGAACGACUCUCGAAACCAAAGAGACAUACUACAAGUUCAUUAAAGUUUAAUUACAACAUGAGCCAAUCGAUGUUUCAGAACUAGACAACUCGACUCAAGGGACCGGAGCGUGGAUGAAGCCGCCGUCUAUCGUGGGAGUCAUGAAAGAACGGGCGUUGUCAUCCUGCAUUUGUAGCAUUGUGUCGAUGUCACUGUUGGACGGUUGAUUUCUGAGGUAGAACUGCCCCGAGGUACGAAGGACAUCUUGAUGGAUGAUUUCCGCAAACUCCGACUGGAUGCGAAAGAAUUCUUGUCGGAGGUCCGCGUCCUGGAUUGCCGACACGCUCGCGGCCCAAUCUUGGAGUUUACUCGGUAGCAGAAGUUGAUGAUGGUCCCGUACAAUCGCCCGCAUGUGAUGGAUGGCGUAGUAGGCACCCUUCUGACCGCCAGGCGGCUGCUUGACGCAGCAGAACGUCAUAUUGUGGGAGAACACGUGCUUGCCGUACUUACGAAUAGGCCUGGUGAAGGUGCCUCCAGAUUGGGCGUAGCCGGGGAGAACAUCAUCAAGAACCUUCUUGACAUUUGUGUAGUCUACGUUCGACUGACGGUCCGGGUCGAAAUACGUGGCCAUGGAAUAUUUGGGGCUUAGGAGGAUGAGCGUGCAACGUGUGUCACUGCAGAAAACACGGAAUGUUAAAAGAAAAACGAUCGAAAAGUAAGAAUUCAUAUGUUACGGGCCGGUUGAGGGGAGGACUUACUCGGGAAAGUAAGGCACGAGGAAGUUAUCCUUAUCUUGGUUUGCCAGAAUGACGCCUUCGAGGUAAGAACUCGCGACUUCCCGGUCCCCAGCGCUGCCCAAGAUCUUGGCACACAUGUAGAAGGGGUCGACUAUCACGAUGUCCGGGGUCUUGUCGCGAAUGAUCCGCAUCUCCAUACUCAGCGAAAAUAGCCGAACGAAGGUGUAGUGCAGCAGAUGAAGGUUAAACAUAGCAAAGAUGUCAUCAAACCGCAGGACGAUCGUACCCCCGAUGACGCCAUCCACAAAGCCCUUGCCCUCUGGCACCUUGGCCACGAAAACCGGGUAUGCCACAUCCUUCUCUCUGAGACGCCGCUUCUCCAAAGAAAGAACACUGUCGUGCAGACUCCGCAUAACACUGGUUGCAGCAUUGAGCAUAUUUGGUGGUAGCAUCGCCCUACCCGCCACAUGCACCCUCCUCGAGAUAUCCUGCGGUGAAGGUGGCCAGUCCUGAGCACGGAUCGUACUCGGUGCCGGCUGGCUCGCACCCUUCUUAGUCUUUCUUUUGCGUGCCUUCUUCUUCUCCUGUAAUGGGAUCGGGUUCUGCUCACAGACCGCCUUCUUGAGUGUGUUGGGGCUGAUAAUAUUUCGCACCUCGCCUAUAUGAGGCUCGGUGAAGUCGGCAGCUGGAGGCGUCUCCUGAGAGCUGAACGCCAGACGGCGCCUGUUGCAACUUGGCUUCUCCGCGGUACGAGCUAGAUCACACACGUCUUUUGUUGGGUUUGGUUCUUGAGAAGGAGGCCCCAUGAAGUCGCCAUCGUACCCAUGCUUGGCAAAGUACUGAUCGACGUUGCCAAAUGUAUCAUCGUUGUCGUCGUCGUCGUUCUGAUCCUGUGCCAUAUGCAUGUUUGGAUCCAGUGGCAUAGGGAUGUCCGGCACCGUUACGGCGGUCUUGCCAUGGGGCCGACUUGGCGCCGGCACGACUGGCGGUGUUGUCUUUGGGGUGGUGUCCCCCGCCCCCAAACGAAUCUGGCUCUUCGGCCAAAGCAGGGGCCAGCUCAGGCAGGCGCUGAGGGUCAUCACGUCAUCAUCGUCGGCCCCGACGGGUCGAAUCGGAGGUAACAAGUCGUCGCAGCCUGGCAGCACCCGAACCAGUUGAACCCUAAACAAGUUGGGUGGCAUCUGGGUACCGUGGAACAAGGGGUUGCCCGGUUGAACGAUUUUGCCCUUGGCGACAUCGACCAACUCGUUGUUCACGAAGUGGAGGAGAGUGCACGGAACAUCGGCGGCGCCCUGCGAAAACAUGUAGGGCGUCAGGGAUGCCCAGUCAAAGGCAAGGAGAUGAAGUCCUCGGCCGAGAGAGGCUUAAUUAGUUACCGUGAUGAUGGCGUCGAGCUCGGCUAAUGUCGAGGCACCGCCAACGGCGGGCGUGCAGUUGACGGAGCGGCCGCUUGCUGAAGAGGUGCCGGCCGGCGUACACCCGGGUGCAUUAAGCUCCGGUGCCGGCGUCGGAGACACCAAUGCCGCCUCCGCCGGAGGCACCAAUGGCCCCGCCAUCGCAUUAUGCGAGUUGCUGGCCGUGAAGCUAGGAAUCGGGGGCGGCCCCUGUUGGCCGCCCGCAAUCCACGCACUCAACCCCGAGAUCAAGGUAGGCACAAGGGCGGUGAUCGUCGCUCCGAGUCGUUGUUCCACUUGCUCUUGGACAAUCUCCGGAAUCCACGCCACCUGGGCCUUGAGUUCUUGAACCUCUCGCGCCUGGCUUUCCGAGCUGGUCUUUUUCUCCUUCCGCACACCAGCGGUAUAGUAUGACCCCCAUUUUGUCAACAAGCCUUUGCCGGCCACACGACCAGCUGACGUCGGCUUACUGAGCUUAUCCUUGUUCUUCAUUAUAUUCAACCCCCUAUUUAGAGUGGUGUCCCAAGGGUUGCUCUGAGUCGACCCCGCGCUACUGCUUUCAGUCGCCUGCGGAAGGAAUGUGAACCAUUUAGAAAUUCGGCUUCAUUAAUUAGAAUGCAACCAUAUGGAGCUAAUUACGCGGGGGUGUAUUCCUUACCAGAACAAGCUCAAGCCGCCUGGUCUUCGGAUCCGUGGUAAGCUCCUUUGUUUUCGGGUCCUUCUUGUACCGGGCCCUGACAAAGUUCCUGGUCUGCUUGUCACCGUAUUUAUCGAAGAGGGGCGGUAGGCCUUGCUCGGCACGGUCCGCCUCCUCCUUGUCCCAUAUAGGCUCCGCCACUCUGUAACCGCCGGGACCGAGUGUGUGUUCCCCUAUGUUCAGCUCCCGCAUUUGUUUCCCCCACUCACUUGAUUGGGAGCUUGCGGUGCUCGAUCAAUUGAUCUUGAAGUCGUUGUAGUCAUCUUCGGUGAUCGAAGGAUUUUUCUCCUUGAUCUUCUCAUAACUCUCACCUUUCUCGAUCAUUCUCUUCACAUUGCUUUUCCAAGUAGACAGGGCCUUGCUCAUCUUCGUGAGGGCAGCAUUGUUCACUUUAUUCCCUUUGAGGCUUGUGUUUUCGAAUUCAGCGGGGAACUUGUAUCGUUCGUGCAGCUUCGUGAAGAGGAGGUGGCGCAAAUUCCCCCGGUCAGGAUGCCUCAGGUUCUCGGUGUUGAUCGAGACGGUGCUCCGGACAAUGCACCCGAGCUGAAGCGAGUACCCCUUGACUAUUCGUUCGGGCGCCGUUGGAUUCCCGUUGGAGUCCACUUCAGUAACUUCCUCCUUGAGGGUGCGGAGCACGAUCGGGCACCGGUCCUUCCGUUGCCUCUUCGGCUGGCUGCUAUCUGUGCGUGCGCCGCCAUCAUCAGUGAUGGCAUCCUCGGUGGCACCAUCAGUGGUGGCAUCAGUGUGGUCAUCCUCGGCGGCACCAUCCGUGGUCUCAGGAUCGGUGGGGAAGGCGGCGGCCUCAUACAAGUGAGGUUGUUCCUCCAUCUCCUGGGACAGCUCCCAGAAUGCCUUGCCGCCCGAACCCCCGGCCUCAUCGUUGUGGGCCAUGUUUCUCUCUAAAUAGAAACAAAGUUCGGUCAAAAAGUUGGUUAUUGUCAAGGAACAAGAUCAUGGUCUCAUCAUUUAGGGUUUGUCGACACCGAGGCAUCCUAAAAUCUAAGCUUUUAUCAUUGAGGGUUUUUCGACGCCAAGGCACCCUAAAAGCCUAACUUUUCAUCAUUUCGGUUUUUAUCGACACCGAGGCACCCUAAAAGCCAUGCAUUAGUCACAAGUACGCCGGGGCACUUGAUCCUACUUAAUUAACUACUAAGAUACCCCGGCCCAUGCAUUAGUCACAGACCUCGUUUUCCAUACCUUCAGCAGCGGCUCUGGCGCCUUUCGCUUCUUUCCCGGCUCUGGCGCCUUUUGCUUCUUUCCCGGCAGUGGGCAGUCUUUCCAAUUUUUCAACAGCUUGUCUAUUUCCUCGCCGCUCCUCGUACACGGGCGUUUUCGGGGUUCGGUUUCACCAUCGAACAGAUCCUUGCGUUUCCUCCACGGGUCAUCGUCGCGAAGCCACCUUCGGUGUCCCAUGAACACGGUUUUCAAAGACCCGGGAUCUCUAUCUAGCUGGCGAAACAUUGUGUCAUCCAUGCACCUUACACAUCCAGAAAAUCCGUGGACUACCUGCCCCGCAAGAUAUCCGUAACCGAGAUAGUCGUGCACCGUCGUGAGCAGUGCGGCUCUCAUAGGGAAAUAUUCUUUCUCUGCGGCGUCCCACGUAUUGGCUGGCGUUUUCCACAGCGUGUCAAGCUCCUCUUUCACCAGCCCCAGAUACAGAUUGAUAUCGUUCCCUGGUUGUUUCGGCCCUUCAAUUAGCAUACUCAUGUGAAUGUACUUCCUCUUCAUGCACAACCAGGGGGGAAGGUUGUACAUCCACACAAACACAGGCCAGGUGCUAUGUGUGCUUCUCUGGCUGCCAAACGGAUUGACUCCAUUGGUGGUCGCGCCCAGCACGAUGUUCCUUGGAUCGUUCCCAAAUUCUGGGUAUUCGAAGUUCAAUGCUUGCCACUGGCUCGCAUCCUUAGGGUGACUCAGCAUCUUGUCUUUUUUAUCUAUCUCCGGAUCAUUUGCGUCAUCUUUGCUUCUUCUCCUCCCUAUCCGCGUGCCAACGCAGGAGCUUUGCUACCUUAGGAUCCGCGAAAUACCGCUGCAGACGAGGAGUCAUCGGAAAGUACCACACCACUUUUCGAGGAUCUUUCUUCCUCUUCUUGUAUCGAGUGACACCGCACACCGGACAUAUUGUAGACUCCGCGUGCUCGUCCCGAUAAAUGAUGCAAUUGUUCAUGCACACAUGGUAUUUCACGUGCGGUAAAUCCAGAGGACACACGAUUUUCUUCGCCUCCUCCAAACUGGUCGGGCACUUGUUCCCCUUGGGAAGACGUUCGUGCCAGAAUGACAUGUUCUCGUCGAAGCAUGCGUCGGUCAUUUUGUGUUUUACCUUCAUCUCCAGGGCCAUGAGCGUUACUUUCAGGCGGGUAUCCUCGGGCCUGCAUCCUUCAUACAAUGGAGUAAUCGCGUCUAACUCAAUUUGAUCCAUCUUGGCUUUCUCUCGGGCGGCAGCUCUUGCGUUAUCCGUCUGCUUGAGAAGCAGCUCUUGAAUAUGAGGGUCCUGCACCCAGCCCAUCGAUGGUCCAGCGUCGUCUGCUCCGCCGGCAUCAUCAUCUUCAUGAUCAUGCCCGUCGCCUGCUCCGGCAUCUUCCUCAUCAUCAUGUCCUGCAUCUUCUACAUGAUGACUGUGUACAGCAUCACAGUCGUGAUCAUCUCCUGGGGAUUCUUCGUCUUCUCGCCCGCCCGAGCCGCGGUGGUUGUCUUGCUGCCCUUCCUCAUUUCUUGCCCGGCCCGCAUGGACGACUUCGUAGUCAUCUUCAUCACCUUGCCACCGAUAGCCAUCCAUGAAACCAUGCAACAGCAGGUGGUCCCGCACCUGCCCGGAAUCCGGGUCCGCAAUAAGGCUCUUCAGCUUGCAUCUUCGACACGGACAUCUUAUCUCCGCCUCGUUCUUUUGAAGCAUCUCGGCCUUCGCGGACCUCAAAAACCUAUUCACGAUGCCUUCGGUCAUCGUGCGGACCAUGGUCGCCUGCGGGGUAGAGCAAAACGAUAUUUUAGAACCAAACAAAAAUUUGGCAUGACUUUUCCUAAAAAUAGGACCAAAAAGAAUGCUUAAUGCCAAAAUUCUCGCCGAAACGGAAAUGAAUCAACAUUCCGGCAAAAUAUUGGCAACUAUCGCAUAUCAAAUACCGGUACACCUCCAAACACAAACACAUAUGCAACACCACAAACAUAUGCAACACCACGAACAUACAUAGAUCUAGCUAGGCCGUAAAAAGUGCAUGUGCACAUUGUUGUAAGAGAACAACCAAAAUAUAGCUUCCCCCCUUACUUACCUAUUAAAACAAGGUAAUUUAACCACUUAAUUUGAAUGAAUCUAUGGUGGAAAUGAGGUGAAAAAGAGGAGGCACCCGAGACAAGGAGGAGGUGGAGAGAAUGAAGUGGGGAGAAAGUGAGUGUGUGGGUAGGAGAGGCUGUCCCAAAUAUCUUGUUGCUGCCCAGUUACUAAUGGCGCACCUCUUGCAUGGUGCGCCAUUAGUAGUUACAACUACUAAUGGCGCACUUAAGCAGGAUGCGCCAUUAGUAUGUUUGGAUAGGCGCACUAGUUCAAAAAAAAAUUCUAUACUAAUGGCGCACCCACUGCCUGGUGCGCCAUUAGUAGUUACAACUACUAAUGGCGCACUUGGGCAGGAUGCGCCAUUAGUAUGUUUGGAUAGGCGCACUAGUUCAAAAAAAAAUUCUAUACUAAUGGCGCACCUGCUGCCUGGUGCGCCAUUAGUAGUUACAACUACUAAUGGCGCACUUUGCACGGAUGCGCCAUUAGUAUGUUUGGACAGGCGCACUAGUUAAAAAAAAUUUGAUACUAAUGGCGCACCCGUAGCAUGGUGCGCCAUUAGUAGUUUAAACUCUAAUGGCGCAUCAGAUUGUGGUGCGCCAUUAGUAUAUACUAAUGGCGCACCAUCUUUCUGGUGCGCCAUUAGUGUCAAUCUCAUCUAUAGCCCUUUUCCUAGUAGUGAUAGGUGCAGAGAUCAAUGCUUUCUUAAGUAUUUCAAAUGCUUCUACGCAAUCAUCAUAAAAAACAGAUGGUAUAUCUUUUUGUAAUAAAUUAGUCAGAGGCCGAGAAAUUUUUAAGAAGUCCUUAAUGAAUCUCCUAUAAAAACCGGCGUGACCAAGGAAACUUCUUAUACCUUUGAUGUACUUGGAACAUGGCAUCUUUUCAAUAGCAUCAACCUUAGCUUUAUCAACUUCAAUACCUCUUUCAAAAACUUUAUGCCCCAAGACAAUACCUUCAUUAACCAUAAAGUGGCACUUCUCCCAAUUCAAGACAAGGUUAGUUUCUUCACAUAUCUGCAAAACUCGAUCAAGAUUGCUUAAGCAAUCAUCAAAAGAGGAUCCAUAGACGGAAAAAUCGUCCAUGAAAACCUCACAAAUCUGUUCACAAAACUCAGAGAAUAUAGCCAUCAUGCAUCUUUGAAAGGUAGCAGGUGCAUUCCAUAAACCAAAAGGCAUACGUCUAUAUGCAAAAGUACCAAAAGGGCAAGUAAAAGUGGUCUUUGAUUGAUCAUCGGCUGACACAGGUAUUUGAGAGAAACCAGAAUAACCAUCUAGAAAGCAAAAGUGUGUAUGUUUGGAUAAUCUUUCUAGAAUUUGAUCAAUAAAUGGUAAGGGGUAAUGAUCUUUUUUAGUAGCCUUAUUUAAUUUGCGGAGAUCAAUUACGAUCCUAUAACCUGUAAUAAUUCUUUGCGGAAUCAAUUCAUCUUUAUCAUUAGGAACGAUAGUAAUACCUCCCUUCUUAGGGACACAAUGAACAGGACUUACCCACUGACUAUCAGCAAUGGGAUAAAUUAUACCUGCCUCAAGGAGGUUUAGUAUUUCUUUUCUUACCACUUCUUUCAUCUUAGGAUUCAGCCGUCGUUGGUGAUUACGAACUGGUUUGGCAUCUUUCUCCAAAUUUAUUUUGUGUUGACAUAGUGUGGGACUAAUGCCCUUAAGAUCAUUGAGAGUAUACCCAAUAGCAGCACGGUGCUUCUUCAGAGUUUUCAAUAAUCUCUCUUCUUCAUGCUCUGAAAGGUUAGCACUAAUAAUAACAGGAUAUAUCUUUUUAUCAUUAAGAUAAGCAUAUUUAAGAGUAUCAGGUAACGGUUUAAGCUCAAACACGGGAUCACCCUUGGGUGGAGGAGGAUCCCCUAGGAUUUCGACAGGCAAAUUGUGUUUCAGGAUGGGUUCAUGUUUAAAGAACACUUCAUCUAUUUCCCUUCUUUCAUUCAUAAACAUAUCAUUUUCAUAGUCUAGCAAAUAGUGUUCUAAAGGAUCACUAGGAGGUACGGCAAUAAAAGCAAGACCAAUAAUUUCAUCUUUACUAGGGAAUUCCUCUUCACGGUGUUGUCUACUAAAUUUAGAGAAAUUAAACUCAUGAGACAUAUCACCCAAACCAAUAGUAACGACAUCCUUUUCACAGGCUAUCUUAGCAUUAACAGUGUUCAAGAAGGGUCUACCAACUAUAAUGGGACAAAAGCUAUCUUGUGGGGAACCAAGAACAAGAAAAUCAGAAGGAUAUUUAGUUUUCCCACACAAGACUUCAACUUCUCUAACAAUUCCCAUUGGUGAAAUAUUAUCUCUAUUGGCAAGUUUAGUUGUGACAUCAAUAUCUUCUAACUCAGUAGGUGCAAUAUCAUGCAUAAUUUCUAUCACAUAAGCCACGGUAAUAAUGAUCUCCUAUUUUAACAGAAAUAACAGGCAUGCCUACCACAUGUGUAUGUUUAUCUUUAGCACAGGGUUUGGCAAUUCUAGCAGUUUCAUCACGGAAAUGAAUAACAUGCCCAUCAAUAUUAUCAGAUAAGAGAUCUUUAACAAUAGCAAUAUUAGGUUCAACUUUAACUUGCUCAGGAGGUGUAUAGGUUCUAAUAUUGCUUUUACGGACCACAGUUGAAGCUUUAGCAUGAUCUUUUAUCCUAAUAGGAAAAGGUGGUUUCUCAACAUAAGCAAUAGGAACAAUAUGAUCAUUUUAAGUGAUAGUCUUUUCUUCAACUUUAAUAGGUGCAGCUACUUUUACUUCUAUGGGAGGAUGAUAUUUAAACCACUUCUCCCUAGGGAGAUCAACAUGAGUAGCAAAAGAUUCACAGAAAGAAGCUACUAUUUCAGAGCCAAGUCCAUAUUUAGUGUUAAAUUUACGGAGAACAUCGGUAUCCAUAAAAGAUUUAACACAAUCAAACUUAGGUGUCAUACCUGACUUCUUACCUUCAUUGAGGUCCCAAUCUUCAGAGUUGCGUUUAAUUCUUUCCAAUAAAUCCUAUUUGAAUUCAAUAGUCUUCAUCAUAAAAGAGCCAGCACAAGAAGUGUCGAGCAUGGUGUGAUUAUCGUCAGAAAGCCGAGCAUAUAAAUUUUGAAUAAUUAUUUCUCUUGGAAGCUCAUGAUUGGGGCAUGAAUAUAACAUUGAUUUAAGCCUCCCCAAGCUUGAGCGAUGCUUUCUCCUUUGCGAGGCUAAAAAUCUAUCUAUUAUAUAAUUAAGACAAAAGUAAAAGAAGUCAUCACGUUCAUCCACAUAGAUUAGAUAAUCCUAGCCACUAUUUUCUUAUAUUAACGGCUCAGAUUUAAAAUUAUAAUGUUACAUACAGAUAUUGUUGUAAACUAACAAUUAGGCUGUCACGUACACAUAUUACAUGCACGUAAUUGGAGUGCUUCAGAUUUGACAAGGUAAAAAAACUAAUUUGGAAAGAGCGUUCAGAUUUGACAAGGAAAAAAAGCAAUUUGGAAGGAGUCAAACAGAGAGAAAACAGCUUGCAUUAGCGUACAUGCAUAGGACUCUCACAACCAGGACAAAGGACAAAUGGAUAGAGCGUGGGAAAACUAGACGGGAAGCACUAGAUUUGUAUUAGAUGCGGCCAGCCAGCCAGCCCAAUAAAAAAAAUGAUACGGCCGGCCAUGUGACCUAACAAAGGAAAUCCCGUUUGGCCAUGCUAUGCAUGUAACAACUAACAAAUGCCAUCAUUACAUGAGAAACCAAUGCAUGGGUGUAUGUUUACUUUCUCCUUCAAAAUUUCGACCCAUAGUCCAAACUAUGCAAACAAUAUACCCCUUCUGACUAGCGUGACAAGCCGGACAUGGCUAUGAGAAUGAAAUUGUCAUUCCGAUGAAAUAAGUAAUGAUUUUAACUCAUAUUUUUUGCUUUUUUAUAUUAAGAAAUUGCACUACAAAAUAAAAAAAUGCUCAACCAGGACUUCAGAAAAUCUAAUGUUUCUAUGACCAGCUCAAGACACCAUCGAGAAUUCUGAAUAAUUUUAAGCCGUAUUAAUUGAUUCUUCAUUAUACCAGCUACUACCUAGAAUCGUAAUAGCUAGCCUGCGGGUGAGGCGUUUCGGAUUUAGAGCUCGAUGGAAUUCGAAACUUUCCAAAAAUCCAGAAUCAAUCUUUCAAGUUUCCAAAAUACUAAAAAUAGAUACAUAAGUACUAUAUAAAUAAUCAUUUUUUGGGAACGUUAACUAAUCUAGACACAUGUAAAAUUUUCAUUAUUAAGUAGGUUUUACGAUAUCUAUAUAAAAACAAAACCAUGCACUUUUAUAGUGGAGAGUACAUAUAUGUGCUAUAGUUACAUGAUUUUGUUACUUUUUUGUAGAUCGCAUAUAAUUUUUUUUGCCAUGAAACUAUACAGACAAGUAGUAUGCAUUCAUAUCUAUGUGUGUAUUAUUAAAAAUAAUUGAAACCUAACCUUUUUAUUUUUGAAUUUUUCAAACAUCAAGUUCCAUAGGCUACACGUACAUGCAUGCAUGUGUUUCAAAGAUAUAAGCUUUUUUGUGGGGUAUACGCAUAUUAUUAAUUUUCUAGAUGGAAUAUAUAUCAUGCAUGUGUGUAAGAUCCCUUGGCUUUGAAGUAUUUGUGCAUUUCUUACAUAGAUGACAAAUGUGUUGGACUUUCUGCUAUAAGCUCCAUUUGAUUAAUAAUGCAUGGUUAUGUAGUGUUCAGGUAGAAUUUUGGACAUCUGAUGCUAUAAUAAAGGACUACAAAAUGAAUUUACUCAUUUAUUUUUUCUUUUUUGUGAUAUCUUCUAGCAUAUGUUUAUUUUCACUGUCCGGGCCACCCGGAUAGUUUGUAUGAAUACAUACAAAUAGUUUUUCUAAAUGAAAAACAAUAGUUACUUAGACUUAGAUGGCCAGGCUACACAAACAAUUAGAGUGAGAUGAUAUAGUCAUGAGUAUUUAGAAGCAUGCAUGGAAGGUUAACAACCAAGAUAUCGUGCUAUCUAGAAACAAUAUUCACUUCAAAUAGUGAUGAUGCAGAUAGAGGAAGACAACAUAAUAUUUACGAUUUAAUCAUUAAAGAAAUGGCUUGGCGUGGUAGGAAGCAAACAUCAGUGCCAUAGUCGUCGAUGACUUUACCAUAUACUUACUAAAAAUAUCCCACAUGUAGUUUGAUCAUGUUUUCUUUGGACUCGUACACACAUUCCAAAUAAAAUAUUAUUUGUAUUUUAAAUGAUCUAUCAAGGGGAACUGGCAAUCAAUAGUGGAAGAGAUAAAUAUGAACAUUGGUAUGGAAUUAUAUGGCAUUGCAUGGAAGAGCGCCGAUUUUUUCAUGGAACAAUUCACAAAUAACGCAGUAAAAACGUAAUUCCAAAAUAUUAUCUCUUUUCCGGAUAUGAAAAAUUUGGCCUUUUUAAUAUAUCUUAACUGCCGAUGGAAAAAUAGUGGUGGAGAUGUUUUUUGCUAAAUAUAAAUAUUAGAGAAUGGCACAAAAGAUCUGGAAGCAUACAUAUGAAUAUGAGGAUAUAUGACAGUGUGCUAAUAGAUAAUGUUGGAACAGAUAACAAUGUAUGGCUGCAAAUAAUCAAUUUUUUCAUUUUAUCGAUAAAAAUUCUAAAACAAUAUUUAAUGCAAAGAUAAAUGAACAUGGAUGAAAAGGUGAAACCGUGAAAUCUGGAGAUUAGUACCAAAGCCAAUGGUUUCACAUGGUGGGAUACAUGCAUUGGUCCUUUUGAUAUUUCAUUGUGGGACAACCGUAUCAUUUGAAACAACUUUAUCAAAAAUGUAGCAAAGUUUAACCAUAUUUAUAAUACUAUAUAUUUAAGCUAUAUUUGUUUAUAUAAAUACAUAUACAGGAAUAAAUUGAAUGGAUAAACAUACGUAGAGCAAAACCAACAAAAUAAAUAAAGUUGUAAAGGAAGUAUAGCCACGCAAAUGCGCGGGUCACCCAGCUAGUUAUAUAUAUAAUUGCGAUCACGAUGAACAAGAUGCAUAGGAUAAAACUUCUGAUGAAAUUCCAAUUUCAAUCGUUUGUAGUUCCAUGAUCCCAUAUCAUCACAUAGCCUGUACCAUGUCAAUGCAUCUCCCUUCAAAGAUAAAGGGAAGACCUUCUUAAUAACAUCACCGGGUAUACCUGCAAGCUUAAAUAAUCCACAAACUUCAUCCAUGUAUAUUAGGUGCUCAUCAUGAUGCUUUGUUCCGUCUCCUGCAAAAGGAUUAGCUAGCAGAUUUUCUAUCAUACCAGAAGGAAUUUCAAAGUAGACAAUUUUAUUUUCAGUAGGUUCAGUAUGUUGAUGAGCAACUCUUUGCUCUACUGGUCGGGGUGAAGAUACCCCAAAAAGCCCCUCAGAGGGUUACUUUCCGUAGUAACAAGUGACAGUAAAUUUCAGCACACUAUAUAAAUUUUUCCUUACCAAAUUCCACCUACCAAAGGCGCUUCACUCCCCGGCAACGGUGCCAGAAAAGAGUCUUGAUGACCCACACGUAUAGGGGAUCUAUCGUAGUCCUUUCGAUAAGAAAGGGUGUCGAACCCAACGAGGAGCAGAAGGAAAUGAUAAGCGGUUUUCAGCAAGGUAUUCUCUGCAAGCACUGAAAUUAUAGGUAACAGAUAGUUUUGUGAUAAGAUAAUUGGUAACAAGCAACAAGUAACAAAAGUAAAUAAAGUGCUGCAAGGUGGCCCAAUCCAUUUUGUAGCAAAGGACAAGCCUGGACAAACUCUUAUAUAGAGAAAAGCGCUCCCGGGGACACAUGGGAAUUAUCGUCAAGCUAGGUUUCAUCAUGAUCAUAUGAUUCGCGUUCGGUACUUUGAUAAUCUGAUAUGUGGGUGGACCGGUGCUUGGGUACUGCCCUAACUUGGACAAGUAUCCCACUUAUUAUUAACCUCUAUUGCAAGCAUCCGCAACUACAACAAAAGUAUUAAGGUAAACCUAACCAUAGCAUGAAACAUAUGGAUCCAAAUCAGGCCCUUACGAAGCAACGCAUAAACUAGCGUUUAAGCUUCUGUCACUGUAGCAACCCAUCAUCUACUUAUUACUUCCCAAUGCCUUCCUCUAGGCCCAAAUAAUGGUGAAAUGUCAUGUAGUCGACGUUCACAUAACACCACUAGAGGAGAGACAACAUACAUCUCAUAAAAAUAUCGAACGAAUACCAAAUUCACAUGACUACUAAUAGCAAGACUUCUCCCAUGUCCUCAGGAACAAACGUAACUACUCACAAAGCAUAUUCAUGUUCAUAAUUAGAGGAGUAUUAAUAUGCAUAAAGGAUCUGAACGUAUGAUCUUCCAACAAAUAAACCAACUAGCAUCAACUACAAGGACUAAUCAACACUACUAGAAACCCACAGGUACCAAUCCCAGACUUAGAGACAAGAAUUGGAUACAAGGGAUGAAAUAGGGUUUGAGAGGAGAUGGUGCUGGUGAAGAUGUUGAUGGAUAUUGACCCCCUCACGAUGAGAGGAUCGUUGGUGAUGAUGAUGAUGAUGAUUUCCCCCUCCCGGAGGGAAGUUUCCCCGGCAGAACAGCUCUGCUGGAGCCCUAGAUUGGAUCCGCCAAGGUUCCGCCUCGUGGCGGUAGAGUCUCGUCCCAAAAGCUUGCUUAUGAUUUUUUCCUCAUCGAAAAACUCCAUAUAGCAGAAGAUGGGCAUCGGAGGGCCACCAGGGGAGCCACGGGGCAGGGGGCAUCCCCAGGGUGGUAGGGCGCGCCCCCACCCUCGUGGGCAGGGUGUGGCCCCCCUCCGGAACUUCUUGCGCUCAGUAUUUUUUAUAUAUUAUGAAAAUGACUUUCGUGAAGUUUCGGGACUUUUGGAGCUGUUCAGAAUAGGUCUUUAAUAUUUGCUCCUUUUCCAGCCCAGAAUCCCAACUGUCGGCAUUAUCCCUCUUUAUGUAAACCUUGUAAAAUAAGAGAGAAUAGGCAUAAUUAUUGUGACAUAAUGUGUAAUAACAAUCCAUAAUGCAAUAAAUAUCGAUAUAAAAGCAGGAUGCAAAAUGGACAUAUCAUGAGGACAGCUGGCUGGCCCGAAGCAAAAACACAGCCAACAAGGCAGGCCCCUAUGAGGCCAAAAGCAGCACCGGCAAGCUCCGGCGCAAUAGACACAAAUGCCGAAGCAAUAGCGAUAACACAGACGACACCACAGUGAACGCCGGAUUCAACGGCUCCAUUGGAGAAAAAGUCCAGGAGAAGACGGUGGUACAGAGGCUCUUCGCAGUGAUGCCGCGACGGUUCUCCCCCAUCAUCAGCACGAUUGUGCAAUGGGGAGACAUCUCCAAGAUGUCGGUGGCCGAGGCUAUGGGGCGUCUUCGGACGUUCGAAGAGAGCGAGUCUGAUCACCAUGAUGACCGUGGCGGCAAGAAAGAUCAGUUGCUCCUCAUGACAUGCACGCUUAAGUCGCUGUUGCAGAAGAAAAAGGGUGCGUUAGGCGCCAGCAGCAGCGGAACAAAAGGAAAAGGGCCUCCUGUCUGUGAGCAGGCUGGACGAGGUGACCGUGGCCACCGCGGAAAGAAGGGCGGCAAUGGCAAUGGGAAACAAAAGAAGCACAGUAAGUUUGACAUUACAAAAGUUAAAUGUUUCAACUGUGAUGUAAAUGGUCAUUUUGCCUCUGAUUGUCCGGAACCGAAGCAAGAGAAAACACAUCUUGCAGAAAAAGAAGAAGAUGAUGAUCCAGGACUACUCAUGAUUGUGGCGUGUGAGGAAGCAUGUGACCCCAGCUGAGGUGACAGAGACCGUAAUGAUGAAUGAGGAAACAGUGGUGCCCAAGUUGAUAGGUGAGCAGCAAAAGGACGCCUGGUACUUAGAUACAGGGGCAAGUAACCACAUGUCAGGCUGUAAGGAGUUGUUCACUGAUCUUGAUGAUGGGGUGAAAGGUACAGUACGUUUUGAUGAUGGCUCACUAGUUGAUAUACAGGGAAGAGGCAAGGUUAUACUUCAGUGCAAAGCUGGUGAACAUCGUGUGCUGACAAGUGUGUCCUACAUUCCUCGCCUGAGAAGCAACAUCAUCAGUAUAGGCCAGCUUGAUGAGGUUGGUGUCAAAACAGAAGUUGAGCAUGGAUACAUGGUCGUGUCCGAUCAAGCGAAGGUGGUCACCAAAGUGAAAAAGUCACCAAACCGGUUGUACAUACUGCAGGCAACUCGAGCAUAGCCGGUGUGUUUGGUGGCAAAUUAUGGUGAAGCAGAGUGGUUGUGGAAUGCACGUUUCGGACAUGUAAAUUUCAGAACAUUGCAUGAGAUGUCUCAAAAAAACUUGGUGGAAGGGAUGCCACGCAUAGACCAUCUGGAGCAAGUUUGUGAUUCCUGCCUUGCUGGGAAGCAUCACCGCACCCCCUUUCCAAAGACAGCGAUGUACUGAGCGGCAGCUCCACUCGAGCUUGUUCACGCAGAUCUUUGCGGCCCAAUCUCACCACUGACGCCCGGCAAGCGAAGGUAUUUUGUUCUGAUAGUCGAUGACCUUACUAGGUAUAUGUGGGUGUCACUGAUCAGGAGUAAGGAUUAGGCACUGGAUGCUCUCAAGAAAUGGCAUAAUCGUGCAGAAAUAGAGGCGGGUCGCAAGCUGAAGGCAUUGUGAACAGAUCGCGGAGGAGAGUUCCACUCAAAUGAAUUUGGUGCCUACUGUGAUAGUCUUGGUGUGAAGCAUUUUCUGACGGCACCAUAUUCGCCCCAGCAGAAUGGGGUUGCAGAGAGGAGGAAUAGGACCAUUAUUGAGAUGCCCCGUAGCCUUCUGAAGAACAAAAAAUUGCCUGGAAAGCUGUGGGUGAGGCAGUAGCCACUGCUGUAUAUCUGCUGAAUCGGGUGUCCACUAGAAGUGUAAAAGGAAUGACGCCGUAUGAGGGCUGGUUCAGAAAGAAGCCAAAGGUACACCAUUUGUGCACCUUUGGUUGCAUCAUUCAUGUGAAGAAUGUUAGUUCUAAUCUUGUUACAGGUCAAUAGUUCAUAUCAUGCAUGCGUAUUUAGUUAGCGGUUAAUUAGUCUGCAUGGACCAUACACGUGAUGGUUGUGUACGUGUGUGUUUUGAGUCGUUGCAUGUACGUAGAAAUUGUAGCCAGAAGCGUGCUUGUUCACGUUGCGGCGUGUGGGUUUGUUUAGACCACGAUCAAGUCGUGGGAUGGCACGACAUAGGUGGAUCGUGGAGUUAGUUUCGGCCGAGUUGUCCGGCUGUUAUCCUUGUAAUCUCUCAGGUUGUUACGGGAGAAAGAAUAAGAAGGGAAAAAAGCAAGAAAAGAGGCAAGUUGUUGCGCCUCGGAAAACUCUGGUGCUCCGGUGUUCGUCUUUGCCUCUCUCUCUCGUUCCUCUCCUCCGUGUUCGCGUGUGUAGCCUCGCAUUUGUUCCAACAUGAAGAAUGUCAAUCCUCAUUUGAAGAAGCUAGAAGACCGAAGUCAGCCAAUAGUGUUUAUUUGCUAUGAACCAGCAUCUAAGGCCUACCAUGCACUUGACCCUGUUUCACGAAACUUACAUGUGAGCAGGCACGAUGUGUUUGAGGAGGAGAAACAGUGGGACUGGCAGGCAACCGAGAAUAAGAAAGACGAAGGCAGUAGGAACAUCUUCACGGUUUUAUGGCCGGAGGUGCGGACAGUGAUGCAAAAGAGGCCUGCCGUGGAACCGAAAAUAGCUAAGAGCCCUGCCAUGGCGACACACUCAAGCGCAGCAAGCAGCCCUGCCGUGUCGACUCCUGUCUCCGCAAGUUUCAUAACCCCGACUGCUACAACAAGCCAGACCGCUUCAGGUGCAUCUAGCAGUCAGAUUACAUCCGUGGGCCCGCAAGGAAGGCGCCUCCUUGAUUAAAUCUAUGAGGAGACGCACGAGAUCCCAACGGAGUAUUCAGGAUUGUGCUUGUUGGCUGCUGAAGAACCCAACAGCGUAAAAGAAGCUUUGUGCAGUGCAGACUGGAAGAAGGCAAUGGAGAUGGAGAUGAAAUCCAUCCAAGAGAACAAGACAUGGGUUCUAGCGACACUACCAAAGGGCCAAAAAGCAAUAGGCCACAAAUGGGUAUUCAAGGUUAAGAAGGAUUCAGAGGGGAAGAUUGUGAAAUACAAAGCCAGAUUGGUUGCUAAAGGCUAUGCUCAGCGACAUGGGGUGGAUUUUGACAAAGUAUUCACACCUGUAGCUAGAAUGGAAACAGUGAGUUUUCUCAUUGCUCUAGCAGCUCAGGGGAGGUGGGAAAUACAUCACAUGGAUGUCAAAUCCGCCUUCCUUAAUGGUGAGCUGGCUGAGGAGGUUUACGUGCAACAACCUCCAGGAUUUGUUGAAGGUACUGACGAACAUCAGGUGCUGAAGCUAAAAACACUCUAUGGGCUGCGGCAACCGCCUAGAGCAUGGAACAUCAAGUUGCACGAAACACUUGUGUCAAUUGGAGUGGUGGAGCAAGGGAGCGGGGUAUCCUGGCAGCGUGGGGAGGAAGACGAGCGGCCAGAGCAGGGGAGCGGUGCCGGGGGUAACAGUGGCGAUGAUGGGGCAGGCGGAAGCGGCGGCACGUCUGGUAUCGAGGUGGGGGUGGGGGUUGGGAACUGGGAUGAAUAACUGAUGAGAAAACCGAAGAGAUAAGGCGACGGGGUGAGCUCAGGGAAGAACUGAGGAGUCCAUGCCACGCCUGGAGGACCGGCUGAUUUUUUUUUUCUAACUACGUGCAAGCAGUUUGGAUGGACCGGUAAAUAUCUUCCACUUUUUUUUAGGAGUGCACACAUGUGUUUGUUCUCCAAAACUAUGCACGCAUUGUGGGAUCUAGUGAUAUUAUUAUUCAAAGGAGUAUGCACACACGAGCGAACACACAUAUGCUUGCAUGUCCUAUAAAGUAAAUAUAAAAUAAAUUGUCUCCAGCCACUAUUGUUCUCAUUUCAUACGAGUGUGUAAUAAAUCAUUGGCAUCAAAACACAUUUACGUGUCAUGGCAAUCGAAUCUUUAGUUGAUCUCAAUUGCGAUGAAAAAUCAUGCAUGUACACAACAGAACAUGACUGGCGCCCCUAAGAAUUCUAUUGUUAAUUGAUUCAUUAUUUUUAUCAUCAUCAAACUUAUCCUCUACAUGUCUAGCCUAAUUAAUGAUAAAUUAACGUUUGCUUCGCAGUAAAACACGCCACUUUUUUCUCCCGUUGCAACGCACGGGCAUAUUUGCUAGUUACUCUAUCAUAAUAGAUAACGACAUGAAACUACGUGGUAUACAUCUAAAUGUAAAGACAAGUAAAAAAGUAUCACCCACAAAAAAAAGUAAAACAAAGUAAACCUUAAACAAUCAAAUAAUGUUCAAGAGGUUAUUUCAUGAUAUAUAGCACUAUAUACAAGACAUAUUUAGGGAUUAAUCAGUACUAGAAGAUUACUAAUGAAAUUAAUCCUAAAUAUGAACAACUAAUUGGAUAAAAUUGGUGUGUUUCUUAAAUCAAAUUCUCCCUCUAAUGGAGUAAUAUAUAAUUCCUCAAAACUUACAUAUAUUUUUUUUAAUUUUCUCAAUUCUUAACUUGGUAUUAGGUAGAACAUCAUGCAACAUUAUGUGAAGGUUAAUCUCGGAAGCCAUGAUACUGUUGUUUUAGAAAUUUAGUUGCAUCCUCACUGUCAAUUAUAUAGGUGCAGUUGCAAAAGGGAAGCAUUGGAUCAUGAAUUUUUUACAUAGAUACAUAUAUUGUUUGCUCACAAACAAAAACGGUUAGAAUAAACAAAAACACAAAAAUAAAUUACAAAGUAUAAAAGAUUGGUGAUAUAAACAGCAAUGCAAUAUUUUUACAAUUAUGUUUCUGAUCCCGACAAGCUAAAUGUUACGGAUCUGAAAUUUCAGUUUCUCUAGGAUUUGUUUGAGUGCUUACCGAGGACAACAUAAUAGAAAUAAUAAUAUGACUUCGAUAAUACAAUUAGUAUUUGUUUGUAACAACUUAUAAAGGAGAAUAAUACAAAAUUAGGAUGGUGCGUGUGCAUGUUCUCGGGCUACUGUGGAAGUUAUUAAUCAUCUAAACUUAUUAAUCAAGGCACAUAUAGCCAAGGCUCGUAGCCCCUAUAGCUAUCUCUAAACUUAUAAGGACAUCGAACGCAACAUAUCUGAUUUAUUGAAAGUUCAAUGAAGCAAUCGCCCAUCCAGAAUUUGUCAGUUGCUUGCACUCCUUUCCCUUCAAGCACAAAAUAUUUCCCUAAUAAUAAAGUGGCUAUUCCUUCUGCUCACUGUCGCGGCUGUUUUACAAAAAACCCCUCCUGCUUUUUGGUAUUCAACACGCAGUCUUUUUUAGUGCAAAUAUGAGAAAAUGUUUCAAUUUUAGGAAAGUGGCCCUGCAAUUCUAUGUAUUCAACCCGCAGGCAACACACACGACCACGGGCUCGUUCGAUGCGUGCUGGUAGGCCACCGCCGCCAGCAGCCGAUCUACACGGUGACUGGUCUACUUCUCCGGCCAUCCAUUGUCGGAGGCCAAUAUUCCUCCUUCUCUCAUGCCUCUGAUUUGGAUCGGAGUCGCGGCAGUAGUGGUGCAGCUGCAGCGGGGGAGGAGGCAAGGGUGGUGGCAUUGUGUGGUGGGGCCCGAAGAUGAGGCAAGGGACACAAUUAGGAACAGCAAGCCGGCGACUAGGACGAUUAUUAGUUAGUUUCAUAGAUUGUUUAUGAUGAUAUUGAUAUGUGCCAGUUGAACACCUAUUUUUUUCAGGAGAUGGAAUGGUUUGCCUGAAUUGAUUUUUUAGUAUAUUGAUGCUUAAUUACUCUGUUAGAUCAGUUGUGAAAGUGUCAGUUUAGGAAUCACUAAAUGAUAAUGGUGGAGUUGAUUCUGAACAUUGGAAGAAGGCAGUGUUACCUGUUUUAUACUGUUAUUUGCACGAGUGAGUUAUCUGGAAUGUAUGCGAAAGAAACAACAAUCCACAUAUUGAUUUAUCAAUGGUGGGGAGUUUUUAGGUUGUAGGAGAACAAUAUGGCCUGUGGUAGUGAGUUCGAUUACCUGGCCAAUGUUAUUUGAUACCAACUUCUAUUGUAUUAGAUUGAACUGUGACGUGGGUUUGGGAGGUCAAGAUCUAUCUGAUAUGCCCUUGAGUCAGCUGCUUAUCACUUUGACCUUGUGUUCCACUUACCUUAUGCAUAUAUGGUCUCCAUGAAUGGAAACUAAGAUUAAGGUGAAUUCAUGGGAAUUAGGAUUUUUGGUCACAAGAUUUGGUUUUUGUAAAUUGUAGUGGCAGUAUAGUCAAGUGUGAUAUCUCAUCACAAACUAUCGAGACACCUUGUUGACACUCUUUGAUGAUCUUAUUUCUGCAACUAUGAAUGUUUUAAUAUCAUUAGUGGUCAAAGAAUAAACACUGAUAAAACUAGACACAAUUAACAAUUUCUUAUUUUCAAGAAGAUUAGAAAGAGAUCAAAGUUUCAUCUCCAGGUUCCUCUUUCCUCCCCUGUCCCUAUCCUCUAAUAUUUUGUUAGAUUUUCUCUUUUCAAAGGCUUUGUUGGAAUUUGUUUCUUUGGUAGGGUGAUUACUUCGUGGGGAAAUGAUAUGUUGCAGCCAGGCUUCAAGCUCGCUGGUUGCGACACUUUCCUCUAUACAGUGCCUACUGGCCCGGUGCCCUCAACACCAUGUCAGUUCCACUAUACUCUGAUCUUUCUCUUCCAUGUCCACAAUAAGUCAAGAUUUCACAAUUUCAGGUGAGAUGUUGUUUCUAUUUUUGUUAUGUCCGCCUUUGUUAUUUUUUUGAUUAGGGAAUAAAAUAGACUGGAAUUUUGUGGAAGAUACAUAUACUUGAGGUAUUGAAAUGCAGUCGUAGAAAAUAAAAUGCAGCCAUCAGUCGGUGAAUCUUCAGUGGUAAGCUCAACUAAUUGCUCCAAAUUACAAGUGUAUAGUCAAAAGUCCAUUAUUUAUAAUACGAAGAGGUCUUGGACCUGAAAAUUAGGAAGUUCUAGCAUAAAAUUGUUCUUGCCAUGACAACAACAUGUUCUAUGUACUUCAUUUUGUCUACCUAUGAAAAUAUUUUUACCUUUAGCUCCUUACGAACACUGUUUGCUGCAUCUGUAUUGCUAAUACACGGAUCAGUCUCUAAGCCAACAUAUAAAUGCAACUACCGGUAACAGUUUUAAGGCCCAAAAACUAUAAAGAAUGAUGAUUGCUUGUGUUUCACCCUAUUCUAGUUUGGCAUUGGCACUUCUGCUAAAUGUUGCACUUCGUGCUACAUAUAUUGGUCCAGAUAACAAUAGUACAAUCAUGCGCAGUUCGGCAC
rnacentral:lncRNA from 1 species